GCAGCUUCAACAUCAGCAAGGCCUUGGAUGAGACUGCAGCAAGGCGCUACAGGAGGUUUACCAAUGGUGAUGUUAAGCAACCCAUUGAGAACAUUAGCACAAACCCCUAAUUUGAGGGUAUCUCUAGGGCAUCUGGUACCUGUGGAAGGUGUGGAAGGUGUAGAAGGUGUGGAAGGGGUGGGGCUUGGCCUUGGGUUUGGCCUUGGUCUAGGGUUAGGACCGGGGCACGUGCCGCAAGAACUUACAAGAGCAAAGAAGAGGAGAUUGAGUGCAAGGAAGAGACUAAGGGAGGCAGUUGUUUUGGAAGCCAUUUCUGAUCAAACCCUAGAAGUGUUUUUCUUUUUCUUUUUUCAGUUUUUGUACUUGAAGUUAGCACACUAGUAGAACUAAUAGAACUUACAAGUAUAUGUGAGAGUGUGAAGAAUUAAGGUCCAGUGGAGUGCGGUUUUAUAGGGUUAAAAAACGGUGAGGUGUUCAACUUGAUGCUAAUAGAAAAUUAAACAAAUAAAUUAAACAAAUAAUCUGAGCUAGCUGAUCCCAUGUGUAUUCUUGUGAUUGUAGCUGGCAAGGCAAGCAAAUUAAAGGCAAACUUUUGUAUUUUUGUGUGGUGGGGGCUGCCAAAUUGCCAGGCUCCUUGUCUUGGCACAAAUCUGUGGAUGCAUAUCUCAUCAUGCACUGUUCUUGAUACCUCAAUUCCAGAGAAUUAUAUGGCAUCAAGAUUUUCGGGUUUGAACCUUUGAUCAAGGGACAAUGGUGGGACUGAAAAAAUCACAAUGUUUUAGUUACGUUAAAAACUUUGUCCUAGAAUUAAUGUUCAAAUAGUUAGAUCAACUAGUUUUUGGUCUAGUGGUAUUUUCACAGAAUGUCAGGACCUCGAAUAUAAAGAUAAACUGCUCUUCAUCACUUGAACUACAAGCCCAUUACUAAAGAUUUACUAAUCAAAUAUUUCAAAUUUUACUAGUAUUGAAUUAAGGUUGUGUUUGAAUCAAGUAUUUGUUACCUCCAAGAAAUUCAAAAAGAUGGAUGAGAUUUUGUGAAUAUGGAAUUUAUUAAAGUCAGGAAUUUGUAAAGCAAGCGGGUCAUACGUCUCAUGUCCAGCCUCUGAUCCAGGAGCUAAGGCCCAUGUCCAACUUUGAGAUGACUCGUGUUUUGGCAGUAGGUGCCAGUUUUAAGUCUGCGGCGCCCACUCCUAAAUUUGAGACUCCCGUCCCUUUUUCUUGGUCGUAAUUCCUAAAUAAGUGCAUGGAGAUCACAACAUUAAUGUUUUUUUUUUUAAUGCUAUAAUUUUGAAUUUGAGUUAAUAUAAAGGUCAUAUUUUAUAUUUCGCGAGGGCCUCUAGAAUUUUUUGAAAUCUCCUUUUCAGUUAUAAAAAUUUCAGGCAAAAUAACGUGUAUCAUAAAAGAUACACACAGAUUUUUUUUUUUAAACACUGCUUAUGUGGGAUCUGGGAUUACUGCAGCUUUCCUCUUUUGGUUCUGGGAAUUAUUUGAAAAAAAAAAGAAAGUGGUAUUUGAUUCCCAUAAUCAUAAGUUCCAUAAUUUUAUUUUGCAAACAGGACUUCAACUCUAUUCACUAAUAGAUCACCAUGCAAAUUAGGCACGAAGAAAAAAUUCGCAAUUUCACUCGCACAUUACACGCAAUUAUAUGAUACUUGCAUAACAAGAAAAAACGGUGUAAGAUCAGAGAAAUGAAUAAUAUCUGUUAGUUUUAUAAGGCAUAUUGGAAUCCAUCUGGAACUUUUAUCUCCACAAGCACUAAGAAGCAAGCUGAUAGCAACGGGGAUGUUGAGGUUGAUGCCCAAAAUUCUGGCUUUGAUGGCAGUGCAGAGGCACACAGCAGCCUCGAGGUCUAGGAGGUGGAACUAGACCAAUGUCUAGGAGGUGGAACUCGACGUCUGCACAAACCCCUAAUUUCAGGGCAUCCCUAGGGCAGGCCUAGGCAACUCUAUUAGGGGCAGGGUUAGGGUUUGCAUUGACAAGGGAAAAGAAAAGGAGAUUGAGAGCGAGGAGUGAGGCAGUGGUUUUUGAAGCCAUCUCUCAAACCCUAAAUCUUGUGUGCUAUUGUACUUAGUACUUACUGUAAUUACUGGUACUCGUAGAAGAAUAUAUGUAGUGGUGACUGGUGAGGGCUUAAUGUCUAGACAGAUUGGACAUUUAUAGGUGUAAUAACUUGAUGUUAACAGAAAAUACAGCAAAAUAAAAUUAAUGAUCCGAGUUUCCAUGUCUGCUUAUGGUUUUCCUUUUUUUCUGGCAGAAUAAGUAGAUGUAAAUCCAAAAUGUUUAUGGCUCUGCAAAUUGCCGUGUUCCUUUUUUUUGGCAUCAAUAAGUACGUUGGUCAUAUAACUUAUGGGGUACUUAGGAGUCAAGUGUAGCCUUCUGGCCGUUUGUGGCUAGGUAGUGUCAGUUCUCACGAUCUCUGGCCAUUUUCGUUGGUUUUGGCAUAUCACGAAGUUUUGUCGACAUUGCCGCCAAACCAAAAAUCUUAAGAUUAAUUUCAUACGCACCUGCCUGCAUAUGAAGCUCAUCAUCAGAUUUUCAGUCCCAGAUUAGCGCCUAUAAACUCAUCACUAGUACUAGUUUCAUACAACCAUUUUAUUUAAACGAGUUAGGACAUCAUGGUACGUUUAUGAAACUUUCUUCUUUAUUACGUGUUAUAUGCGACUAUGUAUUUCUUUCUCCCUUAUCAUGUGACAUUACACGUGAUGAGUAAAAUAGACACAUAAUUGUACACAACUACAUGAGAAAUUAAACAAAUUUUAUAACUCGUUCUUUCAAAUCGUGAAAGAAACACACAUAUAUAUUUGAGAGGUGGUUAAUAUAUAUUUGAAAGGUACGUAGAAGAAAACUAUAAGACAUGUGUAAUUAUUUUAGUCUCGCGUGAAGUGUGCAUGAUUCUUGGCAGAUUCGUGGUGGAAGGAAGUAUCACGGACAGUACAUCUCUAGAAGAAGGCUGGACCUACAAUGGGCUCCACCAGAGCUUCAAUAUUUGAAAAUAUGUGUGAUCGCUUCCAAAUUAAAACCCAAGUUUGUCUUUCCAUUCACACGUUGCAGAGAAAUUUCCGAUGAUUCGAUCGGUAUUAAGUCAAGUGUGUAUCUUGGGAUUAGCCAGUGAUAUGAUGUUUAUUAAUCGAUUUUAUUUUUGUGGCAAGAUGUCUUUUGGAAGUCUCCAAAAGUUUAUAGAUAUGGAGAAUAAUUGCUUUCCUUGCGGCCGAGAUCGACAGUUUUGUCUCCAUAUGCGUUCUUAGCUUCCCAAAGUUUGUAGGCCUCUCGUGAUCGACAAAUAUGCUGCACUAAGUUCUGGGAAAACAUUAAAUCCUAUGAAAAGGCCCCCUGGCCUGAAACUCCCCUACCCCUCCCCCCACCAAGCAAAACCAGCCCUGGCUGCUUGUGGGCUCCAUCAAACCAGGCAAGAUCAGUUCGAGCUGCAGCUUAAAAGCGUUGAUGCCAACGAAUAAAUUAAGUUUUUUUAAUGUUGACGCGUGCGCCGCAAGGCACGUAUGCGUCCUGCUUAGUGAAAUCUUUAGCAACAAUUGAAAAAAAAUAAUUGAAAAAAAUUCAGAUAUUUUUUUUUAAUACCUAACAUUGUUCUUCACUUUCCACACCAAAACUUCAUACAAAUUCCUCUCCUCAUAUCAUAAGUAUAAAUAAAAUUAAUCUUGUGAUAAUAUUUUAUUCCCAUGAUGAUAGGUUACACAAUUUUAUGAGUAAAUAUUAGAGGGACCUUAACCUUAUUUACUAAUUAAUCACCAUGCAAAUGACGCACGAAUAAAAUUCCACUUUCAUCCUCGCAUCACACACAACUAUUAUUUGACACUUGCAUGCAUGCAUGCAUGCAUGAUGCAUAACAAGAAACACCGCAUGAGAUCAAAGAAAGAAACGAUAUUUGUACGUAGUUUUAUGAGGAACAUUGGAACCCAUCUGGAAGCUUAUCUCCACAAGCACUAAGAAGCAAGCUGAGAGCAACGGGAAUGUUGAGGUUGAUGCCCAAAAUUCUGGCGUUAAUGGAAGUGCAAAGGCACACAGCAGCCUCGAGGUCUACAAGGCCAAGGAGGAUAGUGCAGCAAGGUCUCACUGGAACUUGACCAACAUUAACGUUAACCAACCCACUGAGCACGUUAGCUCAAACCCCUAAUUUCAGGGCAUCCCUAGGGCAGGCAACUCUAUUAGGGGCAGGGCUAGGGUUGUUGGCAUUGACAAGGGAAAAGAAAAGGAGGUUGACAGCCAGGAAGAGAGCAAGUGCAGGUCUUUUUGAAGCCAUCUCUCAAACCCCAAAUAUUUUGUUUUACUUGCGGUAAGUACUUGUAGAAGAAUAAAUCUGAUUAGGGUGGUGAGGAUUUAAUGUCUAGAGAAGGUGGACAUUUAUAGGCGUGUAACAACUUGAUUGUAAAGCCAAAGGUUUGUUGUUUUUGCCCAUUUUAGACUCUGGAAAUUGCCAACUUCCUUGUUUUGGCAUCAAGAAGUACGUGGAUGCAUAUGGAAUACUACAUUGUUCUUAAAUAGAUAGCUCAAUUCCAGUGAAUUUAGGGCAUCAAGAUUUAUUGCGGUUGCAUUUGAGCCACAUUUUGUCACAUUUGAGCUUGUGAUUUGGUCUAGUGGUUUGGUCAUAUGACUUAUGGGGUGGUUAGGAGCCAAGUGUAGCUUUCGGGCUGUUUGUGGGAAGAUGGCUUUGUGGCUAGGUAUUGUCAUUUCUCACGAUGUUUGGCCAUUUUUAGGGUUGUCAUCUUCACUAGUGCAGUUUUGUCGACUUGCCGCCUAACCAAAAAUCCGAUGCUUAACUUCAUGCGUAGCUGAAAUUAGUUUCAGCUGCGUAGACUGCAUGUUAAUCAUGAGAUUUUUCUUACCGGAGGUCUAUUGACUCAUCUCUAUUUACCGGUUGUAUAGACGUAUGUGUUUUUAUCUCUUUUAUUAUGUGAUAUAACACGUGAUAUGAGAAAGAUAGACAUAUAAAUUACAUAUAUAACCCUAUGGGAAUCUCAUGCACCUAAAUUAAUUUGAAGUUACGAAGUAUAGGAAAUCAAGGUACGUAAUCCUAUAACUCAUAAUUUCAAACCGUGAAGGAAGAAAAAAAAGAGGCACUAGAAUGUAACGUAGUUUGAAAGUGUUGGUUAACCUAUGUAUGAAUAGGGAAGCCCAACCUGGUUGUACACCAGUUUAGUGUUCAAAGGUCCAGCAUUGGCAUAGACAAAAGCCCAUUAUAAAUGGAAGCCCAUACAUCCAUUAGGAAAUCCUUAAAUCGGUAAGACCGGUUGUUUGUCUAACAAGAAUUCCAUAGUGAGGGUCUUAUACACAGUCCCUAGGUAAGACCCUAUCUCUUAACAUUGGAUCAAAUUGAUUAGCCUGAUCCAACGGUUAAGAGAUAGGACCUCACUUAAAGGCCAUAUAUAAGGCCCUCACUAUAGAAUGACUCGUCGGUCUAAUGAGGAAUUGGGAGUUUUAUUAACAAUUUACUUGGGUAGAUGGACAUCCGGUAGUUUCUGAAUCUUUGAUGUAAAGAAUUACAAAAGAAAUUCUUUCAACAAAGAUAGAAAGGAUUGAUCGAGGAAAUUUGAACACUUCGCUUGCAAUAUGAUGAUCUAAUAGGUGUAUUUUUUUUUCAGAUUGAUUAUAGUUUGUCAUUGAACUGUUAUCAAAUAAAUUACUAUAGACAAACGAAUACAUUGUUUCCCAAAAAAAUAAAGAUAACCAAAUUAUCAACCGUUUUUAGAAAAGAUGGUAUUUCAUUAAAUCCAUAAGAACGUUGCAUGGUAAUAACUAGCAUGAUAACAACGGCCUCAUUAAAAACUUUCCGGAGAAAACAAAACUCCGAGGUAGGAAAGAUUACAACCCAUGCUAAUGACUAAAUAGAAGAGUCAAACAACUUAUACGAAACAAACAAUUAGAACCUAACCACAAAAUCCUUAAAACACAACCUAUCACUAAGAUGGUAUUGUCAAAUUGUUAUAAAUUAAAAUAAUAGACGAAUGAUUAACCACUAAAUGUAGGGCAUUGUUAAUCAAAUAAUUAAAUGAUCUUCAAUUUGGUUAAUUGUUUUUUUACAUGAAUAAUUCUUGAAGGAUGACAUGGAAAAUAAACUAAUCCAAUUAUCAAAAAACAUUGUAAGAUGAAAAGAAAAAGUGGAUAUAUACAAGAUCUAAUAAAUUCAGAGGAUAAACAAAAUCGUAUCUUGGAGUGUACUGGAUGAUGUUCACGGGUGUUCCUAAGAAGGCCAUUGGUCAUCUUGUGAUCCAAAAAAUAAAAAACUAAUUAAUAAUGCAUUAAAAUAACAAAUAUUGAACAUGCACCUUAGGCCUCCCAAAUUUGUUGUGGAAUCUCGAGCACUACCAGCUAAUUCUAGGCCAGCCUUGCUUCACAUGCUGCUCCUCACAGUAUGAAUAUCAGGCCAAGAAUAGGACCAUUCACAUUGCACCCUAUAAAUACCUCUUUGACAGUCUUAACCAUCGCAACAAAAGAAAAGAAAAAAAGUUUCUCAUACUUUAAUUAAUAGUACUAAAUAGUGAAGUUAGAGAGAGAGAUAUAUAUAUAUCUAUGGAUUCCAAGAGAUCUUCAACCCUUGCUCUCUUCCUCUCCAUCAACCUUCUCUUUUGUGUCCUUGCCAAUGGCUGCUACACUUGCUCUCGGCAGCCUCAUCAGCCAAUCACAGCCCCUAAAACAAACCCUAUCCCCAGCGUAGCGACGAAGAGCUGCCCUAGAGAUGCCCUAAAGUUGGGGGUUUGUGCCAAUUUGCUUAAAGGGGCAGUUGGAGCAAUAAUCGGGAACCCGCCAGAUACCCCUUGCUGUGCUUUGCUUGAAGGGCUUCUUGACCUUGAAGUUGCUAUGUGCCUUUGCACUGCCAUUAAAGCCAAUAUCCUUGGUAUCAACCUUAAUAUCCCCAUUGCUUUGAGCUUGGUCAUUGAUGGUUGCGCAAAGACAUUCCCCCCUGGCUUCCAAUGCGCAUAAGCUGUUACAUUGUUUUGAAUCUGUAUGUCUCAUGUGUGAGGCAAAACUUUGUAGCUUGAUUUCUUUCUUUGUGUUUGGCUAGAGGUUAUUUUUCAUGUGCCAAUUGUUCAAUGACACUUUUAUUGAGUUUACACACUUCCCAUUGUAAUUCCCUAAUGGCAUGCAUCAACUUGAAAUUGACUUCAAUGUAUUAUGUUGAAUUUGAUCUCUCUCUCUCUCUCGCUCUCUCUCACACACACACACAUAUACAUGUGGAUAUAUUGAUAUGCCCCAAAAAAAAUCAAAGUAUAAAGAUAGUAACUAAUGCAAGGAUGCUGUCUUACGUACGGCUGAAUGGAACAAUGGGUAUGGUGUGUGAACUAACCUAUUUAGAGAUGAUUACCUAAUUAAGAUCCAUCGAAGUUUGGGUUAAUUUUGCAACAGAAAUAACGAGAUUGACCCCUAUGCUAGCUAGAUGAUGUGUAUAUAUCCAUUCAAACAAUACAUCAUAUUUGAAACUACAUUUUGUAGGUUAUAAUACAUUGGUGCACUGAAAGGGAAUAAGGCCUAUAUCGGCUAGCUAGGCGAUGUUCCGAAAUCAUUUUUUUAAAUAUUUUAUUUUCUAUAAGAUUAUAAUUAUGUCGUCAUAAGUAAAUUAGGGCCGGAGCCACUCAUGGGCUUCCAGUGGCCUUAGCCCUCCGAAAAGUUUCAAACACAUAUACAAUAAUAUGAAAUUUGUUAUGUAAAAUCAAUUUUAUUAAAGCUUUUCUUUAUAUAUUGGCCCCAAACUUAAAAUCCUAGCUCUUUCCUUUGGAUGUAGCACAUGUCAAAUAUAAUAACACGAUAUAUACAACCAUUAAAUUUAAACAAAAAGGCUAAAACUAAACAAAAUUGAAGUGUUUAGUAGAAAAUAAUAAAUUUCCACUUCCAAAACUUGAGCAACCCGUGAAUAUCCAAUCCAACCCCCAAUCAUUCCUUCUUCCUCAGUAUUUGGGUUUCGCUGGUUUUGUUUUGGUGGUUUUGGUGGCUCAAUUAGUGGUUCUUAGCUCUUCCACGUCUCAAUCAAUGGGUGCAACUUGCAUCCACCGGUUUCGAACAACUAAUAAUGAGGAUGUUUAGGGCAACUUGCAGUUCAUGUGUGGUACAAUUUGGCAUUAAAAGAGAUAAAAAAAGGCAAGAAGACGACAAGAAUUCUCUGCAUGAUGUAGGAAGGGAGGUGGUGAUUACAGAGAAAAGUUUAAUCUAAAGCUAAUGUGAACUUGCUGACUCUUGUACUCAUAUUGGAAAUGCUUUCAUAUCAUAUUGAUAUAUAGUUUUAUGUUGUAGUUGUCGAGAGAGAGAGAAAGAGAGGUGGCACGUGCGAACCUGUAAAGAAGAGCAUUUCUAUAACGAGUUGGAAUCUACACACAGUAUGUAUUUGUAAUCCAACCACGGGCAAGUUUAGAGAAUAAGUUCCAAACUGACAAAUUUGCAAAAUUCACAAAGAUAGGAAACCACAGUAUUUUAUUUGUAAUGCACAGUAUUUUAUGCCUAUAAUGAGUUUAUCAAUGUAGUUGCUCUUUUUUUUUUUUUUGUCGUCGUAGUCGUGGAAGAGAUGCUUUAUUAAAAAAUAAUAAGUAUUAUUGGAUUAGAUUGGAUUAAUCUUUCUACAUUAUAUUUGACUUAUAGGGAUAUGAUUGGAUUUUAAGAAGUUGUUUGGUGCAAUACAACACCAAAGUUGAGAUUAGUAUGCUUUUUUAUAUAUUUUUUUAUAUUCUCAUUUCCAAAUUAAUUACAACAAAAUCAAUAUUUUUAUAUAUUUUUUUUAUUCUCAUACCUCCCUUCAUAUCUCAAGAAAAAAAAUAGCCACAAAAUUGCAAAAUUAAAAAUAUAUAUAAAGAGGAAGAAGAUAUGAAUCUGCCUUUCAUCAAUUUUUUCUUCCACCAUAUGCCUUUCGUCCAAGAUCUGAGGUCUAGAUAUGGCAGUGGAAAAGAGAUGGCAGAGGGGAAGAGAGAGAGAGAGGAUCUGAGAUAAGAGAGAAGAGGAGAAGAGAAGAGGGGAAGAGAGAACAGAGAAGUGAGAGAGGAGAGAGAAGAGAGCAUAAAGAAGAAAGAGAAGAAGAGAAGAGAAGAGAGAGAAGAAGAGAGAUGGCUAGAGGUGUGCUCUCUGGCUUCAAAAUCCACGUAUGGAGUUGGGUUUCUAAGCCCCAAUUAUUUGGGACUUGGAUCCAAGGCUCAUAUCCAGUCUAGACACACUUUAAGCCCACCAAACAAUGGUUAGGACUCAUGUCCAUUUUAAUUGAAAAUAUCCAGUCUAGUCUAGUCUACCAAACGGGGCCUAAGAGCAUGUCUAAGGGGCAAGAGGCAAGGGAUUUGGUGCCUGUUUUAGCCUCUAAAAAUAGUACUAUUCGCAAAAAGCCUCUCAUUUUGUAAGAUGUUAAGGUAGAUGAUAAGGUGGAGCCCCACAUGUUGGAAGAGGCUUUGCCUACAAAAGGGUUUACCCUCCCUUUGUAAUGUGUGAAUUCAAUAAUACAAAAGUUAUAGGAACCGAUCCUAUAUCUUUACUACUUCUAAAUUCUCUCCUCAAUUCCUUUAGUUUUAUAACACGUUAUCAACACGAAUUCGCUUUAAUAAUACCAGCUAAAUUCUUUGAUGAAACCCAGAUAUCUUAUCCCUCAUUUCUUCCAUCCGUCAUCUUCUGCAAUUGCAACUUUGCAAGUGUGUAGUUGUAAAAUAAUCAGAGCUGGAGAUGGUCUCUAUUCCUGCCCCACUUAUACAUAUAUUAGUGAAGCUUCUUACUUGCCACCAGAAAAUCAACAGCCUGAAGAGGUGUCAAUAUGUUCACAAGCUCGUUGACAGUACUUAGCCUUAACUGAUCUGCCUCCUCCAAAAUUCUCACCAUGACUUGGCCAUGCUCAUCCAGAGCCUCCUCCACUUCUCUAUUCAUCUCCCCAAGUUGGAUCAAACCCUUUGCAAUCAUUGCAAUUGGCUGGUCUGCUAUGUCCUAUUGCAGAGCUGCCAGCUCCCCUGUCAACCUCUCACAACCUCUUCUCGCCAAUUUUGUCCAUCAAAUACCUCACAAAUCCAGAACGCAGUCGUAGAAAAUGGCAUCGAUUGCUAGAGUAGAUCUAGACGGCGACCCAAUAAAGCCAAUGAUAUUGGUUGAACCAAGCCUUUGUGCUGCUGUUGCAAUUGACUUUGCAGUAAGCCAUUAAAAGUUGUUGAAAGGCUGGUGUUGAUUUGAUGCAAGGCACUAGAGAUCUAGCAAGCAUGCCUAAAAAGUGAGCCUAUGUUGGAGUAUAUUUAUUGAAAAGUGGGAUACACAGCAAGUUGAUCAGCCUAGUGGAAAGCAAAAUCUUACAUGGAAGUAAAGGAAACAAAGGAUUAUUGUUGAACAUUAUUCUUAACAACUAAAAUAAGUUAUUAAAAACAGCAAUUUUAAUUCUCGCAAGUGCACGAACCGUUUAUAGUAUAGCUUAUGUAAAUACGAGGUCGAUCCCACGGAGAAUGGUAACUUGGUUCCAAGUUAAAUUACUUAGAAUGCUAGAAAAACAUAGAACAAAGAAACUGACUAACUAGCUAAAGGCAAGGUCGAAUUCAACAAUGCCUCUUGCUAAUUACUCAAGGUCUAGGACAGAAUCCUAGCACCACACACACACUCGAAAUAUGGGGUUUUGUUGUUGAAAUGAAAAGAAGAAAGUGAAAUGAAAGUGCUCGAAAGUAAACACUGGCAGCAAUCAACAAGUUGUGAAACAAUAAUUGAGAGGUGUUAGAGCCUUGGAAUCCACCACUAGUUUUCAUAUCCAAGUUAUGAAUGCAUAGAAAUUGACUCAAGCUUCAUCAACAAUAGAUUAUCGCAUACAAGCCUAUGGUAUCUAGGUGUAGGAUGCAUGAUUCUCCUAAGGCAUGUGAUUAUGCAUGGUAUCUACACAACACGUGAUCUCUAAUAUGCAACCUAAGCAUGGUAUCUAGUCAGAAUAAAGCAUACAAGGGUCAUUAAGCUCCUUGAGAAUAUGAUAAUCACACAAGUCCUAGAACAUGGUAUCUGUCCUAGUCAUCCUAUGGUUAUUAACCCCUUGAAUGAUUCUUAGGCCAUUCAUGUGUUGCUUGUGAAAGGAGAGUAGAAUUGGUGAAUCUAAACCCCUUCCCAACCUGUGCUAGAUGCAUAAAAUCUUAGUUAGGUACUCCAAGAAAACAUACAUCAAGCACAUAAUAAACUGGAGAUUAACAACUUGAUAAUAAAAGCAAGGAAAUCAAUUAACUAUAAAAUCAUCCAUAACAUUGAAUAUUCAUGACUAGGGCUUCAUCCUAAGCCCUAACUAAAUGGAUUAGUUAGACAUAACUAUGAAUACAGAAAAUAAGAAAUACAUAGAUAGGAUAAAGAGAGGAGAAGAACUAGAUGAUGGCAGCAAGGAAGUUCCCAGGACAGCUCCAAGCUCCCUUCUCUCUUUGUGGUGAAUCUGAAUGUGUGUAUGAGAGUAAUGGAUAAAGUGAAUGUGUGUGUCUGCUCUCUCUUGAAUAAGUGUGCAGCUUUCUAUUUAUAGAGUGCAAUUUCGUCCUCCCCUUUGGCUGGUGAAGCACACCUCUCUUAGCUGCUCCCAACUGCUCUAGCUGCCUAUACUUGCCAACUGCUCCAGCUGCUAAAUACAUGCUUUGGUAUGGUUUCUUUAUGAAAAGCUUGACUUUUGUUCAUCCUUCUGAGUUCCUGAGCUGAUUUGACUCCCAUGUGUGGCUGCCCAUAUGUAGCACAUGGCUCUAAGGAUGUAGCCACAUUAAAUGUGAUGGCAGCCAACAUGACAUUUCUGUGAACUUGGUUCGGUCAUUGACGUGCGGAUGGCUCCAGAUUUAUCCAAUUCGGCUGCAAUUUGGAUAUGUUAUAAUAGACACCCAUUGGAACAACUUCUAUCAAGGAUGUCUCCUCAUCCGACCUGUGUAAGUUGCUGAAAUGAGGCCUGCAAGAUGACCUACGAAACUGGACUGACUAGGAGUGUGGCUCAAAUUGGUUUUGUCUUUAAGCUCAUAUUCCUCUCGUGCCACUCAGCCCUUAACAUGCAUGAAUUGUAUCAAAUGUCAUCACCUUGCUGUCUUAACCUACAAAACACACAAACAUAGGUAAGAGACUCAAAAUAAAGAGAAGCUAAACAAAAUUACUAAGCAAAGAAGGCAUGCAAAUGUGUGAAAUUAUGACAUUAUCAAUUAUUGCCAUGGAUAUGAACACCCACCGAAAUAAAGGGAUAAGUUCGCUGCCUCACUUUAUCUCCUUCAAUUAAUUACAUUAUUAUAAUACCUACAUAAUUUAAUACUCAUGACCAGUGUAGAUUGCAGGUGGAAAGAAGAAAAGCCAACAUGAUAUGUCUAGCUUUCCACCAAUAUAUCAGUAUAAUAAUAUUAUACUAUUUGAUCGUGGUGUUGAUAAGAACCCACAAAUAAUUGUCUUUACUUUAUCCAUAUAUAUGGUAAUUCUAUGGACGGUUUCACCUCCUAUAUUUUUUGUGGUGGUUUUAUCCCCACAUUUAUUUUAUUUACUGUAUGGUGUAGGUUCAUUACUCAUACAAUUUAUUUACUGUAUGGUGUAGGUUUAUUACCCAUACGACAAUAUUUAUUUAAAAGGGUGGCGCGGUGUAUCGUCCAUGCAUUUACUUCUAUUUAAAUGUAUGAAGCAGAAUUAGUGCCCAUACAAGCACGUUUACUUUAUCGCACAUUUACUUUUACUUGAAGUAUGAUGUUGAAUAACCCUCAUACUUUAUGAAUUUACUUUACUGCACAUUUAAUUUUAUUUAAGGUAUGGUGCGGGAUUAACGUCCAUACAACAAGAAAUUUAAUUUAUGAAUUUAUUUUACCGCACAUUUACAUUUAUUUAAAGUAUGGUGCGGGUUUAUCGUCCAUACCAGUAAUUUAUUUACCAGCAAUUUAUUUCAUGGAUUAAUUGUGCGGUAUGAUGAGUUUUUUUUACAGUAUGCAGAUCAGGACCAGAAGUUCCUUGAUCCUCAUCAUACAAUUACAUCAGGACUUGAAGAUCCUUGAUGAUGAUAAUGAUAUGAGAGCUGGCAGUCUCUCUGGUACUAUAUUUGUAAACAAAUGAUCGGACUUGAGGGUCCUUGAUCCUUGAUAUGUAAAUAAGGAUCUAGAGUUCCUUAAUGAUAUAACAGUACCGUAUUGAUUAAAAGUGCCGUACACAUGAAUAAUAACUGUACUGAAAAAUGUACUGUACACAUGAAUAGAUAUGUAUUCAUGACUUGAUGAAUAGUACCGUAUACAUGAAUAGUGAUGUAUGCAUAAAUAUUAACCAUUUUGGCUAAACCGUCACUAUAUACAAAAGGGAACCUGCAGUUACUUAAUCUCAUGGAUGAGCAAUUAAAUGAGAUGCCAGAAGUUCCUCAAAAUAUGGACAAUUAUGUAAGGGCUUGAAGUCCUGAAAUAUGUACAGAAAAUUGUAAAAAUGUCCAUACCAUGAGAAUAUGUGAUUUUGGCCCGAAGUUCAAAAUCUAAGGGGAUUGAAUGUUCAUACCAUGAGAAUAUGUGAUUUUGGCCUGAAAUUCAAAAUCUAACAGUGUUAAGAACCUAAAGUUCCAACAGUUAAAUGGACAACCCUUGAGGUAUUAUUACAAAUUGUGGUACACCACAUAUUUCUUUGGCAUAAGAGAAUGAUGAAUUUAGGCUUUUUAUCACAAAUGGUCCUUCAGGUUUACAAAAUUAUCACAAAUCGUCCUUCAGGUUAUCAUUUACCCAUCAAAAUGGUCAUUCUGUCAGUUUCUGUCAAAACUGACGUUAAAUUCAUGUGCUCAGCCUGCUUUUGAAAUGAUAAUCUCAUCUUUUCCACUCAACCUUCAACCAAACUCAACUGUCAGAACCCUUUCCCUCCAUUUCCUCAUGGUCCUUCCAGUUUGGCGCUCCUGUAAUAUAUAACCAAUCUUAAAAAUUAAACUUCUGAAGAAAUUGAAACAAUCCAAGCUCAAGAGAAAGACCAACAAUUGAGAACUGCAGAGAAAGACCAAACUCAUGGAUCAAUAUGAAAAAUAUAAGUCCUGCAAAUUCAUUAUCAAUGGCACAUCAAAUACAGAGUCUUUAAAAAACUAUUGAACCACAUCAGUACUCAAAAAACCAGUGCACCACAUCAGUACUCAAAAAACCAAUCUUAACACAAUAUAUCAAAAUGAACUUCCCAAAUCCUAACACAAUACAUCGAAAUGAGCUUCCCACACAAUACAUCAAAAUGAACUUCUCAUACAAUACAUCAAAAUGAACUUCCAAGUCCUAACUCAAACUCUCCAUGGUCUUCCUCUUUUUGCUGGAGACUUAAGUCUUUUUUGCUGGGUUGGUGUCGUGCCUUGGUUUGAUGAAAAAGGUUGUGAAAGAGGAGGCUGUGAACCCACUGUUGGUACCGAUGCAUGAGAUUGUGCAGUUGUUAUCCUGUUAUGGCCUCCUCUUGCUACCUAAACAUAUUACUACACUAGUAAAACGCCAAAGAAAAUGAUAUCAUAUUUUGACCAUAGAAAAUGACAUAUGAAAGUGAAAGAACCUUUAACUUUUGUUUCCUUUGCCUAAUUGGCUUAUCUUUGGGGUCUUUUCGGCCAAUUUGAAGCUGCAAAUAAAAUCUCAACAUUAUUAUGAAUUAUAUAUAAGGUCCCACCUGUUUAUACCUUUUUAUAUUGGAAUGAAAUAUGCAAAGGAAAUUUAUACCUGUUUGGUAGUUGCAUUUGUGCUUGAGGUCCCACAUGUUUUCUUAUUGUGUCCGUCCUGGCCACAUUUGCUGCAUUUGAAUCUGUCAUAAACCCAUUUUCUCAGUCUAUUUCCUGAUGUUGCAGUUGGUGGCUCUCCUUGCUCUCUGACACGUUUCUUUUUAGGUCUCCCAACUUGCUUCUUAUAUAAAGGAGGCAACAAUGGGUUAGGAUCAUGUCUUUGCCAUUGAUCUAUGCUGGGCAUUGGUGAUAUAAUAGGGUUAUAAGACUUCAAAUAAGCACCCUUUUUGUAACAUUCAUCUACAUAGUCAAAAGGGUCUUGCCUUCUUCUACUAAUGCAAGCAAUUGCAUGAGAACAUGGGAUCCCACAAAGAUCCCAUCUCAUACAAGAGCAUGAUCUUGUUCCAAGAUCUAUAGCAUAUUGUCCCCCUUCCAUAUUUGUCACUUGGUACUUCAUAUCCCCAGAUAAUAUUGGAAUGCAGUACCCAGACUCAACCUUGUUUUUUUCAACAAUUUUUUCAAUCCUUGGUCCCACUGACUUUUUCCAUUUAAAUGCAGCAACCCUCCUAUUUGCCAUUCUCACCAUGAGAUUGGUCCUUAUACUCUCAAGCAUUUGAAGAAUUGGCUCGUCCCUUGCCUUCACUAUGGAAGAAUUAAAGGCCUCACACAGGUUGUUUAACAACAUAUCACACUUAUAAUGGGUUUUAAAGUGUGAUCUACUCCAGUGUUGGGCUGGCUUUGGAUGCAGCCACUUCCAAGCUGCUUCACUUUCCAUCUUCAUCCUUUCCAUUUGACAUUUCCACCAAGGGAUUGUUGUUGCCCUAGCUGCAUCCGACAAAAUUUGCUUCAAUGUUAAUCCGGGAUGUGAUCCCUUAAAGUUGUUGUAGAAAUGUCUCACGCAGUGUCUAUGUUCUGCAUUGGGUAUCAACUCAGCAAUUGCAAUGCUUAAACCUUUUUGCUUGUCUGAUAUAAAAGCGUAAGCAUGGCCAUUUUCAAUCCUUAAAUCCCUUAUCAAAUGGUGGAUGAACCAUACCCAAGUUUCCUUAUUCUCAAUCUCCACAAUUGCAUAAGCUAUAGGAAACAUUCCAUUGUUCCCAUCCGAUCCAACUGCUGCCAAUAAUUGUCCAGGAUGUGGUCCCUUAAUAAAAGCUCCAUCCAUACCUAUUAGAGGCCUACAUCCUUCUAUAAACCCUCUCUUGCAAGCAUCCAAACAUAUGUACAGCCUAUGAAAUCUUCUUUGAUCACCAUCCAUCUUUGUUUUAAGCACCACUGUGCUUCUUGGAUUUGCUUUCUUCAAUUCCUCACAAUAGUCAUGCAAUUUGUGGAAUUGAUCCACAAAAUCACACUUGUUCAAUGUACAUGCCUUCUUCCUAGCUCUAUAGAUUUGCUGGGAAGAAGGUUCCAACCCAAAGUCCCUCUGAAUUGCAGCUGUAAAUCCCUUUACAGACCAAUCAGGAUCUGCCCUUAACUCAUUGGAAUAUUUCUGAGCCAUAAAGGUUGAAUUCAUCCCAAACAACUUCUGGUCAACUGAACAAUCAUGCUCCAAAUUCAUUGUUUUAAUCACCAAGGUUGGUGACUCAUCAAUUCUUGAUGCAUAUAUUACAAAUGGACAUCCUUCCUCACAUGCAACCCUCACCCUAUUCUUGUCAUUCUUCUUAAACCAAAUUUUUCUUCCUAACUUGCAACCAUAAUGAAUCACAGCCUCUUUGAAUUGACUUUUGUUGGGAAAGUGCAUACCAAUAUCAAAGCUUGGAUUCCUCAACAUAGACUCUCUCCUCCAUUGUCGAUAGUUAGGAACUACUUUGGUCUUUUUCUUCUUGCUACUAACUUCAUCAUCCACAUCAGAUUCAUCGUACCCAUGUUUGCUAUGAAAAUCCUCAGAGUUUUCCACAUGAUCUGAAAUCUCCCCUGCAAAACCCAUCUCUUCAGGCUCCUCUUCAAUCGGAUUAUCUAUAUUUUCCUCAAACAUAUUAUUAUCGAUCUCAAUCUCUUUAGCUUCUCCUAUUUGCUCAUAGUCACUGUCUAUGAAGUCCAUAUCCAAUGGAUCUUCCUCAUCUUCAUCUUGUUCCCCUUCAACCUCACUGUCGUUUUGCCCCUCAUGUUGUACCUCAAAAGCCUCAUUUUCCCCCUCAGUAGGUAGGUCCCCAAGCUGCCAUUGAUUUCUGCUUGAAUUCUCUUGUUGUCUUUUAAAGGUAUCAAGGUUGUCAUCAUUCCAAUCAAUAAACAAACCAUCCCAAUUCAAAGAUUGGGCCACAUGAAUCUCUUGCACCAAUGGUAUUUCGUUAUCAACAAUGUUCAUAGGCAUAUAAGGUUGACUUGCUGGUUGUUGUCUAACUACAUACAAAGGCAUAUUUCUACUCUUAGGUAUGGCUGCAACCAUCUUCAACACGUGCUCAUCAUUUUCUAAGAUUUUAAAAUCCUCAUUGUCCACCUUGUAAAAAAAAACUAACUCAUUCCUUUCAUAUCCUAAUUGUUCUACAAUCCACACAAGCUCAAUCCAUGACAUUUUAUCUCCAUCUACGUGGUCAAGAAACACAACCUCUCCUCCAAAAUAUUCAUCAAUGCCUUCCCCUUUAAUCAGUUUGCCUCCAUGGUGAAUCUCAAGACUAAAUUUAUCAGGAUCUGUCAAGAAGAAAUAAUUAAUCAAUGCCAAAAGCCUUCUUUUAACUUAAUUAUCUUUUUAAAAAAAAAUAAAAAAUCAGCAUCACAUACCUAAAAAAAUUAGGUAAAAACAGACCUAACAACUAAGUAAUAAAUAAUACAUAACUACUAUUAAACAAAGUAGUAGUACACAACAUAUCUCAACAAUUCUCAAACCAUUAAAACAAACAUGGUCCACACCAAAGAUAAAGCCAAACUGAAAAACAUAAAGAUAUCAUUGACAAAUAUAAAAAGUUAAAAAAUAUUGCACAAUCAAAAUACAACCACAUGUUUCACAAAAUAAAACAAAACAACCACAUUUGCAGACAAGCUGUAGUUUACACUUUAACAAAGAUUAAAAAACUAACCUGUAUACUUUGGCUGUUUCCCCCCCUUUCGAAAGAACUCCUCGGACUCAUCCAUCUAGUCACUUUUGUAAGAAGAAUAAUGCGUAUUUGACUCUUACGAACCCAGAUAUUCCUUUUGCAGACCAGCUUUAACAAUUAAAAACCCAAAAAACCUUAAUUGUGCAGGGCCCGAGGAUGAAAUGGAGGGAAAAGGUUAUAUAUGCGGUUUAGAGCGAAGGCCCGAUGAAGAAAUGGAGGGAAAGGGUUAUUUCAGUUGGGUUUGGUCGAAGGUUGAGUGGAAUGAUGCGAUUAUCAUUUCAAAAGGCAGGCUGAGCAUGUGACUUUAACGUAAGUUUUGACAGAAACUAACAGAAGGACUAUUUUGAUGGAUAGAUGUUAACCUAAAGGACUAUUAGUGACAUAAAAAAACCUAAAGGAUGAUUUGUGAUAAUUUUGUAAACCUGAAGGACCAUUUGUGAUAAAAAGCCAUGAAUUUAAUAAAGUUCGAUUCUGUUAUAAUCGACACCUCAAGGAAGAAAUAUAUUUUGUGAAUUCCGGUUGUUAGGAAUACACCGUGAAAUGGAUAAUAUCAAGAUAAACCUCAAAUGAUGAAUUGAGGCUCCCCCACAUAUUUUGUUAUAUCUGGGCCAGAAGCCUAUGGAUCCAAAUAUGUGAGAAAUCCCGAACCUGAAGUUUUGGGCAUAUAGUAGUUAAUGCUUUUCACUACUAUAUUGCCAUAUUAUCAUGAUUUUUACUCAAUUCAUAUUUCAUGUCCAUUUAAAAAAGGCCAAUAAAUUAUGAGGUCAUGUUUAGCCCAGGCCAAAAGUUCCGGGCUCAUAUGCAUAGAAAUAUGUAAUUUGAGAGAUUUGAUGUGGUUACUUGAACCUAUAAGACACAAGGUUCCAAAUCGUCAUUUUGAAAAGACGUAAAAACCACAGGUGCAAGUUUAAGAAUUUGCGCAAUUAUUAUAACAAGAAAGAAGGCAUACAACAGAUAGAUUUUUCCACCUGCAAGAAAAAGCAGGCUCUGCAAAAACUAUAAAAUUACAUUAUGUUAUGGAGGCCUCUAAAGGAAGAUGACGACGCCUCUUAAGCUUAGCCAUGAGCCUCUCGUGGUCUCGACCUGCAGCAUUUCUAGCCUUCUUAGCGUAUCAACGGAGUACGAACUCACCAGUUUCAACAAGGCAUUAUUUUCUUCUUUAAGUUUCUCAACCUCCUGUUGAGACUUAUGAAGCAUUCUCUGAAGAGACGAAUUUUCAGUGGUCAGCUCUUGAACCUCGUUUGCUUUGGCACGUAAACGAUCGGCCAUAUUAGAAACAGAUGCAGCACUCUGAAUGCUAAAAGCCAUCGAGUCAUCAAUAGCCUCUUCAUUAGACCUCACUGAUAACAGCAUUUCAUCCAUUGGAAUAAGGAAAUUCCUAGCUACUAUGACAGCAGUCGCAUCAUUCAUCAUCACAGAAUCAUUAACCGUGUGAUGACGAUUUUGGGAUGCAAAGGAUGGACGCCAGACUUUGGCGUCACGAGUUGUGUUGGGAGCAACAUGUAAAUCAAGAUGGUUUGGGUGAGAAGAAGAGGAAGCCAUUUUAAGAAGGUUUCGAAGAAAGUCUUAGAAAAACUAAAGUUUCAGAAAAUGAAGGAAGCUGAAUUGAAACGCAGUUGCUCCAAUCAAGUUUUGCAAAGACAAUAUCUAUAGGAGGAAAUAUGGCUACAGUUUCCAGGAUCCCAAUAUUAACUCGGAUCCCCAUAUUCUUUUUCUUUCUCAGAUUUCAAAACUUCACGUGGCCUCCAUUAAUAUUUGUCGACACUUUCGGCGUUUUCAAGUAUUAUUUUCGUUAAAGCCGAUCUUGCUUUGCGGAUUUCACAGAGCUACUUUUUCAAAAGCACCCCGAGAACCUCGUAAAUUUUUGUGGUUAAUCUGAAAUUCAUUGGAUAUACCUAUUCCUCUUAUUUGUGUAUAAAUAUGUUACUAAUGAAAUUUUCUUUGCAGAUCUAGACAUGCGAUAUUCACUUGUUUUUCAUAUCAGUGAGCACUCAAUGUGCUUAAGAAUCAAGAAUAUCUCUGAUCAUCCAUUCAAGAAGCGAGACUAUCCCUGAUCAUGUUUCCGCUAUAUCAGGGAACUGUGAAGGCGACCAUAUGCUCUAAUCUCCUGAAGUUCUUCUAGACUAGGAGAAAUGAGAGUUUGUUGUCUGCUCUCAUCAGCUUCCUCACUGAUUGCUUACCUUACCUUGCAAUCAAUAUCACAAUUUUUGUAUCUUUUCUUUCUUUUUAUAACUCUCUGUUCAUAAGGGAUUUGAUUUCUUUAGAACGAAUAUCCGAAGAAAGAAUCCAUGAAGUGAUCCUAACUCUGAGGGUUAUUUGUUUUUGACAGAGAGAAGAAUUGUGAUUUUUGCUCUUGCAGGAUAUAACUGGAUCAUCAAGCGAAUAAUUAUAUUUGCUGAGCUGAUACGAGCUUGAAUGAUAUUUGAGCAAGGUUUCUCCCACCUAAGGAUGUAAGCAACACUUGUGUUAUUUCAUGCUUACACUCUUAUUUUGACAUUUUGUACAACAUCUUUAAAGGCAACCCAAGGGGGAGAUUCCAGAAGAAUGGUUUGCAUUAAAGAUCGUUCCAGAAGAACGACUUGUAUUAUGACCAUUUCAGAAGAAUGGCUUGUAUGUAUCCAUGAAUUAUUAAUGCAAAUUUUACAGAUUGCAAGUUGGAUACAUUGAAAAUACACUGCACAGAUUAAAAUCCCAUAAAAACAUAACAUGGGUAUAGCAGUGAUCAAUAUGAUGCACGCAUGUUGCGUAGCAAAUGAUAAGGAUUGAAGUCCCGGAAGGACAAUCCUUUGACAUGUCAAUAUUGAUACGGUGCACGCCUAAUGCGUAGCAAAUUAUAUGGGUUAAAGUCCCAUAAUAUGGGUUAAGGUCCCAGAAAUUAAUUGACAUGUAUAUAUUAAUCUGUGGCAUGCCUGCAGCAUGACAGAUAUAUGGGUUCUAAAUGUUCCAACUCCCUAAAUGGAGAUUAUCCACGCCCUACUGUAAAAUAACACUCCAUUGGAGGUUAUAAUCCACAUUCUCACAUAAUAAAAGCCCCCUGAAGUGGCUUGGGUACCCAAAAGUAAAUAAAUGCUUAUAAUUGAUGCAUGCGCAUGCACAUGAGAAUGGUGAGAUCAUAAAUUGAUGAAUGACAAUUUUUGGUUUUGGAGUAGCUACUCAAAUCAUCAAUGGGAUGUGUUGAUUGGAACCACGUUCAAUUAUUAAAUGUCGACAAUAUCAUUGGCCAAAAUAGAAAGAAGCAAUUCCAUUACAGAUGAGAAUGAACGUGAAAGAACAAACCCACAAUACGAACCCCAAAAGAUGUUAAUACUGAAAGUUAUACUUGGGUGUUUGGAAUAAAAGGGAAUAUACCCACUUUGUAUGACACAAUGUUUCUGGCAGAAACAACGAAUGUUGGGUUUUCUCCAUAUUUACAGAUUUAAUUGUGCCUCCUUAUUGCACAUUUACGGAGACCAACAUGUUAUCUUUAAGGGUUAUUAAAUGCACGGAGCAUAUCACCAGAAGUGAUUCCCUAAAGAUGUAUAAAUAGCUGGGUUAAAGCUAUAUAAUGUGUUAUAAAGUUUAAUCCCUUUAAAAAAAAUCCUUAAAAGGAUUGAAAUUGCAUGAAGCAAGUCCCUGAAGGACAUGUGCCUGAAGCACAAAAUCUAUACUCAAUACUAAUAUGCAUAAAUUGCCUCAGUGAGUACAUUGAUUAUAAUAUGUUUGCAACACAUUAAAGCUUCUGAAGAGUUUAAGAAAUAUUUGUCUCAACCUAACGAUCGAGCGUUGUGCCAACGAGAUUUUUUUUGCUUAUACUAAGAAAGUAUUGAAGCACUUUUUUUAGGAUUAUCCGUUGGGCACUUAAAUGUUUUUCAGAAGUAUACUGGACCAGAUAGAGCUCAGCUCCAUCACCACCAUUUUGGGAUGAUGUGAGGCAUAUUUGAUGCUAUCUUCGCAUAACACCAUAUACGGGCAUGUUCUUUUCGAGUAAACUUACUAAUAGCCCAAGUGUUAUUGGAUAUGCGGACUCUGAAAAUUUCUAUGGUCGCUUACUGGAAAAAACUAGUCAUGAAGUUUUCAGGGGGAGAUAUUCAUCAGGGGAAGCGUGGUAUUAAUAAAGACCUUCACACACUGUACUCUUUUUCCUUCAUCCAGGUUUUUAUCCCAUUGGGUUUUUCCUGGCAAGGUUUUAACGAGGCAGUGUUGCUCAAGAUUGACUCACAGAAGCAGUGUCAACUAUGAUAUUUAGAAAGAUGAUCAACAGUAUGGCUUAAAGAUAUUUUGCCAAGCAUCAGGGGGAGAGUGCUAUCAAUGAAGAUCUUCAAACACUGUACUCUUUUUCCUUCGUCUAGGUUUUUAUCCCAUUGGAUUUUUCCUGGCAAGGUUUUAAUGAGGUAGUGUCGCACGCGUGUCAAUAUACACAGAAUUUUAUGUUACACAUGGUUAUGUACUCUUUUUCCCUUCGACCAGUUUUUGUCUCACUGGAUUUUUACUGGCAAGGUUUUUAACAAGGCAUAUUACAUACAUUGUGGUCUUCAAGGGGGAGUGUUAUAAGAUGAUAAGGUAGAUGAUAAGGUGGAGCCCCACAUGUUGGAAGAGGCUUUGCCUACAAAAGGGUUCACCUUCCCUUUGUAAUGUGUGAAUUCAAUAAUACAAAAGCUAUAGAAACUGAUCCUAUAUCUUUACUACUUCUAAAUUCUCUCCUCAAUUCCUUUAGUUUUAUAACAUCUCAAAUUUUUUGUGGUUCUAGUGGUGGUGAGGGUUUAAGGGCUAAAACUCAAAAUUUGUUAUUUUUAUUUAUUUAUAUUUUAUUUGUGAUAAAUAAAAAAUCAAAGCAUAAGAAAAGCAACACAAAAAUUUAUUUUUGAAAACAAUUUUGAAGGGCUUGGAGUAUAUAGAAAAAGCAACACAAAAAGAAUAAACAAGUAAAAAGGGUUUGGAGUAUAUAAAAAAAAGGGUUUUAAAAAAAGGCUCAACUAAUCGUUGAAAACUAGGGAAAAAAAAAAACCAAAUAGUGCAGCAACUAGCCGUUGGAAAUUGAAAGAAGAAGAAAAACACUAAACUAAACAGUCCAACAACUAGCUGUUAGGCAAUUAUUAUUGAAGGCGCCAUAUGGAAGAUCCUCAUAGGCCAAAGCAUUUGGAAAAGCAGCUUUUGCUGCGCCACCUCUUUUUUUAUCAAAAACUAACCGUGGGGCCUAUUCUUGCCCAGACGAGCUCUUAGGCAAAACCAGCCCCUUAUCUUGCCUUAAGCCAAACUAGAUUGGGCCAAACACAUGUAUUAGAAAGUGUUUUUUUUUUUUUUUUCAUUAGAGGCCAGAUCUGGAUCUAGCCCAAGCUAGAUAAGUCCCAUUAGACUUGCUCUAAGAGUGUACAAAAGAUAAAACUGAAAAAGUCAAUACCAUCCAAAACCCAAACAUGAGACACAUGAACAAAUGCGUAAUUUAAAAAAAAGACUCGUAGCUCGCUCAUGAACAACUCAAAUGGAAACAACAACAACAAAAAAAAAAAAAAAAAAAAGCCUGAACAUCCCUUCGAUCUGCACAUCAAAACCUUGGCAGAACCAUUCAGCAACAAAAUCGAUGAUCCACGACAACCACUGGACAAAAGAGAGAAAAAAGAAAAGUAGAAAGAAACAAACGUGAAAAAACAAAACAAAAACACAAUCCUAAAAGCUCCUCAAUUACCCUAGCAAUUAGCAAAGCAAUAAAGGAACACUAAGAUUUUCAGUUGGACAAAUCCAUUCACUAUAAGAAAAAAUAAUUCAUAGUCAUAGACAUCUGUGACACAUGAUGAGAUAGCAAGCAUUAUCGAUGUCUAAAAUUAUUUGUAUUCAUUGUGCUACUACGAACUAAUACAUUAAUAGUUAUCUCAUUCUGUGCCACGGAUAUCAGUAGCCAUUAAUUACUUUUCUUGUACAAUUUGAUUUAUUUUUUUUUCCCCUAUCCCUAUUUGAGAUGGACAAGUCCUUUCUUCAUAAGAUGUUGGCCAAUGAACGAACAUCUUAAGCCCACAGGCCAUUAGCAACCAUAUCUUUCAAGAGAGACCCAUACACAAACGCUUAUAAAAAUUUGCUUUUCACGCUAGUGUGGGCCCAUGCGGAUGUGUCACGCUUUCAUGGACAACUCAAGAUGGGACCACGUGUACUGUGGGACUCCAAGAGGAUCUAACAUGUAGACCACGCGUGCCACGUUCGCACUGCUACAACUAAUCCAUGGAUAUAUCCUUGAUACAUAAUUAAUCUACAUGGAAUUUAUAAAUGCAUGCAGUGCCAAACCCUCUUUGUCCUGCUGAUAUAGUAAGAACUGACUAUUAGAGUUGACUUCACAUUCUUCACUGAUUGACGAAUCUACAGAGGCGCAAAGAGAUGCAGUUAAUUGAGUAUUAUUUUUGAUUUUUUUAUCCCAGAAAAAAUUCCCAAUGUAACUUGUAAGUAGUGUCUUACAUAUUCAAGCAUGCCAAAAUUAAAUAAAUAUGAUCUGUGCUGCAGAUUGAGGACAAAGAGACAAAGAUUAAAUUCAAUAUUCCAACAUUAUUAUCAUGAUAUCAUCACAACUGAUAGAAUAUACUUUAUAUAUUAAUUAUAGAACAUAUGAGCCUGCAUUUUCUGGUAUCUACUCAUUCAAUUUUACCACUAACCAUAAAAUGCUAAUGAAGUCUUAAUCAUAUAGAUUAAUUAGGUACCUACCUCUCAUCGUAUUCGUUGAGCGUACAAAUUCUAAAUCGAAGUACAAGAUUUCGGACCUCUCUAUGCAUUUCCAGUUAGUUAGGUUUGAAACUCUGGAUGCUCUAAUUGUAUCAAUGUUAAGGCAUUGUUAACCACAUAUAAAUCUUGUAGUUUUUGGUUAAAUUAAGUCGAUCGUCUAGACCAUAAUGACCUUAGAAUUUCAACCUGGCCCCAAUCCAUCCAUGGAGGUCGAAUUAUGUGAACCACGUUUUCUCUGGGUUUGCACAUCACAUAUAUGACAAAGUGCAGGCCCAAUUUUAUAUAUAUUUUGACAUGUUGGACUCCCAUAAUAAUAAUAAUUCUCAAUAAUAAAUAAAUAAAAAUAUGCAUGAUGAUCGCACACUUUGCAAAAAUAAAAUUGGUCCUCAUGGGUUUCAUUUAAAAGCCAUGCUUACAUGUAACCCUACACAAAAAAACACAGGACGACCUUAAAACUUUUUUCCACAAAAUAAUUAUAAAUCAUCUACUUGGCCUACCAACUCACAGUGAUCUGACACGUGGGUUGUCUCCUCCUUUUUUUUUUAAUUACUUUAAUUCUCUCUCUUCCAUUAUGCAUGAUAGAUAUUGCAUAGUCAUCCAGCGAGAAGACCUUGCAGCCGAUCAGUGCAUAAAUACAAUUAAUUGUUAAUCCAGCAUAUAAGAUACUCUCAUAAUUGAGCCACUUUUCAUACAUUGUCUGGUUGAUUGGCUCUUGGAGCAAACGAAAGAAUAUUUCGAAUUUUGAGAUCCUAUUUGACACCAUAUAUCUGCUCAUGAUUCUACAUCAUUAUAAUUUAUUAGAGCUAGUUGUACCGUCCAAUUCUCGUUUAGGGUUUUUUUUUUUUUUUUUUCCGCUAUUUGUAUCAUCUCAAGUUUGAUCAUACUGUGUAUUAUUCUUAAUAGGAAUGAAAUUCAUUUGUAAGUGGUUUGUAACUCAAGUGGUUAAGAGUAUUAAUCCAUGCAUACUUGAAGUUGUAUGUUCGAUUUCCCUCUCCUCCAAUAUCGCUUAUUAAAAAAGAACCAAUUGAAACUCAUUUAUAUAAGUUAUGUGAUGUCUUAUCGUUUAAUAGAGGUGAGGUUCGCUUAUAUCCAAUGUUGACCAUAUGUAAAUGAGAAUAAAAAUUCCAUAAUUUGAAUUUAGAUAUAAGAUAAUAUGGUCGGUAUAUCCGAUCCACAUAAAGCUAAGCAAAAUUUGUUUAUAAAAUUUGUCUUUUAAGUUGGUGAUGGACUGGUUUCACAACAAUAUUCUUGCUCUUCACUAUUCUCUGAGGCUCUGAAUUAAGAAGAAAGAACAGAUAAGAAUAUAAUAAUGGAAGGUUUAUUGAGUUCAAUGAUCAAUAUAAGCUUUCGUGUUCCAUGAUGUCAAUUCAGUGGAUUUGAAUUGUAGGCUGGUAGUUGAAGUUGGGCUCCAUUCUUUCAAAUCUGUGAUGCAUUCCUCAGUUCCCAGUUUCAAAUUUCAAUUAAAUAUCUCAUUGACUUCUUUCAAAAUCAUGAUUGUAUCCUAACCAAGAUUAUACCCAUGUUAAUCUUCCUCUUUUUUUAAAAAAGAGGACAGAACGAUAUUCUAAACUAUUCUAAUAAACGAAAAAAGGGUUUAUAUUUGAAUAUAAAGGGGUAAGCACGCUGCCUUGAGCAAAAUCUGAGUAAUUUAAUUUUAGUAUUAUUGCUAUUGAAAUGAUGAAGUAUGUGACCUAAAUUUGUGGCCAAAACUUUGAUUCUUUUUUAUGAGUUGUCUCCCUCCCAGAAACCCUGGGCCAGACUAGAAGAACGUGGGAAAGAAAAGAACUACAGCGUUAACCCAACAACUGGAGGACAGAAACUAAUUAAGCAAAACUAAAAGUAACCAAUGACCAAGAACAAACCAAAAGAAGUAAACACCAACUAAAGCUAAACCAUAAUUGAAAUCCAAACAUAACACUCGAUGUAAAAAUCCAAAACAAAUCAAAAUCAUCCCUUUAUCAAAAAAAUUUAAGAGUCAACAGAUUAAGUCCUAAAACAAUAACAACGUGGUCACUUAUAUUAGAGAUAUGGUCAGCAACGUGAUCGAUAAAUGUAAUACAAAUAAUAUUAUUAUAUUCUUUUUCUUCUUUAGGCCGUGAAAUACAGUUCUGUUUUUAUAGUAAUAGCAUGCGGGUGGAAGAGAUGAGCAAUUAUAAACGAAUUAGAAAAAAGAAAAAGAAAAAAAAAGCAAAGAUAAAUUGGGAAAGAAAAUAGAAGUGGUAGCCUAGCAAUCCCACUGCUCUAUCUGGCAUGCUUAAACCUCUGUCCUAUUUGAUCUUCGUCUAAUUAAGAAUUUUAACAGACAUGCAUCACACUGAUGUCCUUUUAAUCUUUGAUUAAUUAACUUGUAUUUUAUUUUUUCGAUUUGUCUUAAUUUCUAUUGUGGUAAAUUAGAUUUGUCCGCCCAUUUCUUCACACGAGUAUAUGCUCAAUGUGUGACAAAAUCAAGCUAGCUAGGUUACAGGUGUCAUUUAAAAUAAAUAAAAAAAUCUGUAUGAGCAAUAUAAUGAUCCAUCCAUAUCGAUAAAUAGACUAAAUUAUUAUUAUUUUAUAUGAAAUAAUUUAAAUAUGCUGCCACAUCAUUCAAACAAGAGCACCAGGACAAAUCAUAGAAAUCACAAAUAUACCACCACUUUCCUCUUCUAUCAAUGCAAAGGUCUUUGCUAUGACCUCCCACUAUAAAAAGGCCACAAGCCCUGCCCCAGAUUGUGCCACGGUUCCUCCCUUUUUGUAUAUAUAAUUCACUAACACUUUUGGCCUAAAGGAGAGCAACCAAAUUAGAAAUAUUAAAUAGUGCAGCUUGUGCAGAGCUCCAAACUAUGAGUAAUUGUACCCUCCCAGAAACACAAGAGAAAUUGACCCUCCCGGAUGCCUGGGACUUCAAGGGCCGCCCCGCUGAGCGGUCCAAGACUGGCGGCUGGACGGCGGCCGCCAUGAUUCUAGGUCUACAUACAUAGCUACCCUACUCUCUUUUUCUGUGUGACUCCCCCAUGAUUCUUUGCUCUCAUCUUUGAUCUCUUUGAUAUUCAGGUGGAGAGGCUUGUGAGAGGCUAACAACGCUAGGAAUUGCUGUUAACUUGGUGACUUAUUUGACUGGAACCAUGCACUUGGGCAAUGCUACCUCUGCUAAUACCGUCACCAAUUUUCUUGGUACUUCCUUCAUGCUCUGCUUGCUCGGCGGUUUUGUGGCCGAUACCUUUCUUGGCAGGUAAUUAAUUUUCUAAUUGGGUUCACAUUUUUUGAUUUUGAUAUUGGCUCACUCCCAUCACUUUUGGUGUUUGGUGUGCGCUUUUUCAAUUUCCUUACAAUGAUUGAUGGUUUAAUUAAUUUCACAUUUUGAUUGAGUAAUUCUAAAGGGGGGACAAUUUUUCAAACUUGAUGAGAUCUAGUCAUUUGUUGUUUAUUUGGUCCGCUAAUAUAACAUGAAAAUGUGGCUUUUCUAACAUUACUUUUCUUGUUAAAUGUUUUGACAGAUACCUAACCAUCGCUAUAUUUGCCACCUUCCAAGCAAUGGUAAACUCACUUUACAUCAUCACUAAAAUUAAUUCAAACUUAAAUUAAUACGCAGUUAUGUAUCUCAUAUAUGUUCGAUUCUUACUUUUUUCUCCUCUCUAAUUCUAUGAAGAAAAAAAAUGAUUUUAUUAAGAUAUAAUUAUUUGGUUAAAUUCAUUAGUUUGGGGAACUUGCUCUCUAGUACAACAACACACAAGUCAUUUGGAUGUGAUGGACACACUAUUACAUGGUGAUAUUAAUUUAAGUGUUAUAAUAUAAGUGGACGACUUGAUUGAUAUGUUAUAAAUUUUAGAAUAUAAUAAUAUCAAUAAAUACAUAAUAUAUUAUAAUAUAAGUGGAUUAAUAAUAUUAGGUGAGAUUCAUACCAAAGAAUUUCUCACAAGCACUUGCUUUCUACCUUACUUCUUUGCUUGUUAAAUUCUUUUUCCUUUCUUAAUUACUUGUUUUGGUUAAUAGGGUGUGACAAUAUUGACAAUCUCAACCACAAUCCCCAGCCUCCGACCCCGAAAAUGCACCUCCGACACCGGCACACCUUGCAUCCCGGCAAGCGGCAAGCAACUCAUGGUUCUCUACAUAGCCCUCUACCUGACAGCCCUGGGCACCGGCGGCCUAAAAUCGAGCGUUUCAGGCUUCGGCUCAGACCAAUUUGAUGAGUCAGACAAACAAGAAAGAAGACAAAUGACAAACUUCUUCAACUGGUUCUUCUUCUUCAUAAGCAUAGGCUCACUUGCCGCAGUCACCGUUCUUGUCUACAUACAAGACAACUUGGGGAGGCAAUGGGGCUAUGGCAUAUGUGUCUGUGCAAUUGUGCUUGGCCUCAUUGUGUUCUUGUCAGGAACAAGACGGUACCGUUUCAAGAAACUGGUGGGCAGCCCUUUGACUCAGAUAUCGGGGGUGUGUGUGGCGGCGUGGAGGAAGAGGAACAUGGAGUUGCCCUCCGACAUGUCGUUUUUGUACAACGUUGAUGACAUUGAUGAUGGACUCAAGAAGAAGAAGAAGCAGAAGUUGCCUCAUAGCAAGCAGUUCCGGUUAGUGUUUUACUCAUCCUAAUUCCUACUUUAACUACUGUAACUGCAUUAUUUUAUUUUAUUUUUUUCCAAACUAGAUACAUAUUAAAUUAUAGAUUUAUUCUCUGAUGUUAAAUAGAUGUGGUGGUGUGGUGCUAUAUAUGUAUAUAUAUAAUUUAAUUUAAUUUGAUUUAGAAAUUAAGAAUGAAAAGCAUAUAUUCACGAGGGUUGGGGCCAGACUGUCCUGGAAAUCGGUCAUCACGCUUCUUGUCUUGGACUUGGAUGAUUGAACCUUCUUAGUUAUCACCUUCACCCAGCAAUAUGAAAAUGCCUGCCUGUCUGUCUUGCUCCAUCAGUCACGGACAUACUUGCUUAUGUAUUCCACUGCAUCUGCCUCUGCAUCUUUGGCCACAUACGUACUCUAUUAUUUCUAAAUCACCCACUUUUUCAAAUCUUUUCCUCUAAAUAUAUAUAUAUAUAUAUAUAUAUAUAUAUAUAUACACACACACACUUGUCUAACAAACUGGCACAAAAGAACAAACCCUGAAACUACAAAAACAAAAAUCAUCAUGUGACUCGCAAGGUUUCCCUUGUGCCUCUCACAUGACCAUGUUUCUAAAAUGGUGUGUUAUUAUUGGGAAAUGUUGCCUCUCUUUCUUUAUUUUUUGUUUUUCCUAAAGUUCCUAUGUAUGUAUGAACCUAGAAAAAUGUUUGUUUUCAUUUUGAACCUAUGAACACGUGGUUGCUAGUUGAAUGACAAUAUGAAAGUUCUCACUUCAUAAAGUUUAACUGGAUGAUGUCUGCUACUCAAUAUAUCACAUGACAUAAAAGUUUCCACUUUAUAAAGUUUAACUGGACGGUGCUUGCCACUCAACCUGUCACAUGACAUGAAAGUUCCCAACGAAAGUUCUUCUCAAACUAAUAAGAGAAACUAUGCUGAGACAAAAACAUGAUCACUACGUCAUCCAUGGAAACGAAAUUAAUUUGUUGGUUUCUUCUUGUGCAGUUUCUUGGAUAAGGCAGCAAUCAAGGAACCCAAAACGACAAGCGGUACAGCCAUGAUCAUAAACAAGUGGAGCUUAUCAACCCUAACCGAUGUUGAGGAAGUAAAAUUGAUUAUCAGAAUGUUGCCAAUUUGGGCCACCACAAUCAUGUUUUGGACUGUCUACGCUCAAAUGACCACAUUCUCAGUGUCACAAGCAACCUCCAUGGACCGCCACAUUGGAAAAUCAUUUCAAAUCCCACCUGCCUCUCUCACAGCUUUCUUUGUAGGCAGCAUUCUCUUGACAGUCCCAGUAUACGACCGGCUCAUUGUCCCCAUGGCAAGAAAAGCCCUAGAAAACCCACAAGGUCUAACCCCAUUGCAACGCAUGGGGGUUGGCCUAGUUUUCUCAAUCUUUGCAAUGGUAGCAGCAGCUCUCACAGAAGUCAAGCGCUUGAACAUCGCACGAUCACAUGGCUUGACCGACAAUCCAACGGCUGAGAUCCCACUGAGUGUUUUCUGGCUGGUCCCACAGUUUUUCUUUGUGGGGUCCGGGGAGGCCUUCACAUAUAUUGGGCAGCUUGACUUCUUCCUCAGGGAGUGCCCUAAGGGGAUGAAGACCAUGAGCACAGGCUUGUUCUUGAGCACUCUUUCAUUGGGGUUCUUCUUUAGCUCUCUAUUGGUCACUAUUGUGCAUAAGACUACAGGGCACAAUAAGCCAUGGCUGGCAGACAAUCUCAACCAAGGGAAGCUUUAUGAUUUCUAUUGGCUUUUGGCACUUCUGAGUGCUUUGAAUUUGGUGAUCUAUUUGUUUUGUGCCAAUUGGUAUGUUUACAAGGACAAGAGGCUUGCUGAGGAGGGCAUAGAAUUGGAGGAACCAGAGAUUUGUGCCCAUGCAUAAUUAUCUGGUUUUUUCUCCUUUUUUUUUGUUCUUCAUUUUUUCUUUAACCUAAGCUUGUAAUCUUUUAUGUACAAAAGGAAAGAAAAUAAGAAAUGAAGAAUCAUUAAAGCUUGUUAAUGAUCACACACACCAUUUUCUUUCACAAGUCUUAAAAUCUAGUUUGAAUAUAAAUAAAUAAAUAAAUGUAAUUUAUAAAAUUUAUAAUAAAUAUAAAAAAAAAUUAAAAUUAUUUUUAAAAAAGAAAAAAGAAAAAAGACAGAAGCAUCAAAGGCAAUGCAGGGUACAUUACCAUUAUUUUGGAUCAAAUUGAUGUGAUGUCCCUUAACUUAUAUAGAGAUCGCAUUAUGAAUUGCAAUAUAACAUGAUCAAAGAAUAACAAUAAUACAUACCAUGCAAAACCAUGGGCAACACGUCUCUGUCUCGAGCCUGGGAUGGGAGGCAUCCUUGUCUAAGCCACAUCAUUUAUCCAAAUGAUUCAACUCCAUUCUAUUAGGGCCCAGUUUGUUCUAAUAACUAAGUAACUAUAAAAAGUAAAUUAAAGGUUAAUCACAGUUAUGAUCAAUCUUAAGUUAUUUUUCACUUCCGGCCCCUCCCUCCUCCCUCCUCCCUCCUCCCUCUACAUUAGAAUCUUUAGAACAUCGUCUUGUCACUUUGGCUUCUUUAACUUUUAGUUAUAUUAUUAUAUAUUCCUUCCUCGCUCAAUUCUAAUCUCUUACCCAUCUUCCUCUCUGCUUUUUUUAUUUUUUAUUUCCAAAAACCAAGUAACAAGCCAUUAGAGUAAUGUACAAGAAAAUAUCCAGAAACUUUGGUACAUUAGCUUUCAAACUGAAAUCAAAUUUCGGGUAUUUUAUCACAUAACUUAAGUUGAUGAGUUUGCGUAUCAAUAUCACAAAGAAUUCGAAAUGAGAUUCAGUUUAAUCCUCACCGAAUUCAAAUCGAUGAAGUUCGUAGCAAGAACACUUGUAUAAUAAUUGCCAGACCAAAGCUAUUACAUAACUGAAUGAUGACAAAUUACAUUUUUCUUUUUAUUACUAAAGAAAAUACAAAUAAAUAUGAAAAUGCUUAACCAAUGGUUAGCACCCAAAGAAAAGAAAGAUAAUAAACAAACUACAACAUAUGUGAGAGUGAGAAAAGGAGAGAGAUUAGAUAAGUAAACUAAUAUCCCAUGACACUGACAAUGAUAACAUUACAAGGAUACAUAAGACUACAGUCUAACCAUCAUCAUCAUCAACUUACAGUCAAAGGAGAGAGAGAAUUCUUCUUUAAAAUGUCCAGGAGGAUAUCUGCUAUCAACUUGACGACCAAACUCUUGAACAAAUACACCAACUCAGGAAACGCCAAGCUAAGUUUUACACAGCUUUGACUGUGGCCAUCUCAACGCGUUUUAUUUUUCCUGCAUUAUCAGAAAAAUUACUUAGUUAACAACAUUUUAGUGAAUUGGUAGAAUUAAUUCAUAUAUGGCUACCACCAUAUAUUGCAAUUUUAAGAAUGUACCAACAUAUCUUUCCAGGCAGUACACACCUGAAUCAUAAUCAUGACCCUUCUAAUGCUUCAUCAAGGCCUUCACUAAAUUCACCAAAAAUGUCUGGACAUUCAUCCCAUUUUCCCUGCUUCCGUGUUUCCCAAUAGCCCCCAACGUAGCGGAAAGGUCCAUCUUCACCUUCUCUCUGGAACCAUCUAGGUUUCCACCCAUUUUCUUGUAGUUUCCUCGACUGUGCAUUGAAUAUAUUCAAGGAUCACCAUCAAUAUUAAUAAUCAUACAAUAAUAUUUCGGUUGCAUCAUACACCAUGUCCAUGUAAAUAUCCACAUAUUUAUUCCAGUCUAUACACUGAAAAUAUUAAUAAACAUUUUACGUUCAAAAUCAAAUGGAUGAAUCAAAUAACUUUCUCAAACUGCUCUUCAAAUCUUAUGGAGCUCAGUAAUUUAUUGUAAAGGAGUAAAAUGAGGGAAGAGGAAAACCAUGCAUUUUUUGUCAUGUUCGAAGAUGAAGUUGCUGAAGUCCCUUAAAACAAAUUCCAAUAUUGACCAAAGAGUAUCGUAACUUCUUAUCUACCAGAAAUAUAAAGUCUCUCACAACUUUAAAGGGGAGGGACAUGCAAUCUAUAAAUGCCGGACUCCAACAUGAAGGCUGUUUGAUAGACAGGAUUGACUCUAGUUGGCAAGUGACUUGAAUCAGCAUUUGGUCUGAAUAUGGUAUGGUAUGGUAUUUGAAUUUGAUGACAAAGUAUAGGGGUGCAAUAAAUUCUUAAAUUGGAACAUCAUAGAAAAACCAAAUACAAAGACCAUGGCGAAAACUUAAAACCGGCAAGAAGAAUAUCAGCCAUUGAAGCUAGCAUGUAGGAAUGUCUGUGUGCAUGUGACCAAAAAGAUAGGGAAAGAUGCCAAACAUACCAUUCUUUGCCUUUUCUCCAACCGCUGUUUCUCUGCAUUUGCCUUUUCAUAUUCUCCAUUCUCCAAAUGCCGCUGGUCCGGCCUGAGCCUGGAAUCCGUGGGUGGUAGCUUCUCCUUAAUCCGUGAUCAAAUACCCGGGAUCAGACAAAGCUAUAAAAAACAAUUAGAGAUGCAUAAGAGGAAAAUGAAAAUGCAUACGAAACAUUUGAUGUAAUACAUCAUGUCUACCUGCAGUCCAGGUGUUAGCUCGUUCAGUGUGAUUGCGAAUGAAGUUAAGUUAUACCGUGUGACGUUAGGAGGUUUACUACUUUUCCACAACAACGAAGCAUCUGAAGGAUUUGGCUUGCCACUGCCAUCACCAUUAACAUAAUGUAUGCUUUCAUCCCACUUCCCAAAUAGCGUAGCAACCUUUUUCCCCAUCACGUCUUCCACAACUCCAUGGACCUAUAUGGAUGUAGAGUUGCCAUUAAUCCAACAAUUAUGUUGGAACAAAAAUUCUCAUAUUAAAGAAAGAAAAUGGUUCUAUCCUGAAGAGCGUCACAACAUAUAGGCCCACAUAGAUGUGAGUUGAUAAAGGCAGUGACAAUGUUUCAACAUUCUUUACAGCAUAUAAACAUCAUUCUCUACGCAUAUUAAAACAUCAUUCAGGGCCUACAAAUACAAAAUGCACCACUAACCUGGUGAGGAUUUCGGUCAAGAAUUGAUUGCUCUUUGAACUUCAGUUUGCAUGAAUGCUGACGAUUACCCCGUAUAUGCAUUGUACCAUGGUGAUCGCAGUAUACUUUACCAAGAAUAAGAUUAUAUAUACUUGUUGUGACCUAUUACAAGACAUGAAGAUGUUUAAGCAUAAUUGUAGGCUUGUAGCAUACAUAAAGAAAAGGCAAGAAAAUGAUUCCAAUGAGCAGUCAGUUUGCGGCAAAAACACAGUUACACAUCAAUGCGCACCUUGCUCCACUGGAAAAUUUCACCAUCGUCAAACUCCAAGCUCAGAACUCCAACAGGGUCAAGCUGAAUUGAUCGCCCCCAAAAUUUUGUGCGGAUAUUGCUAUCAGCCCAGAACUUCCACCCUCUACCUUCACAGUGACAGGCAAUGAGCGUUGGGUGGUGACUAACCUGUUUCAAGUAAAAAUUUAUUGACAUAUUUUGGAUUGAGUAGGUUUUUAUUUUUGGAAAAAUAAUACAUUUAUAUAAAACCACUGGAAGAAUAUCAAGAAAAGUUAUAGCCUUUGCUUGCCUGUAUCAAGUUCUCAAAAAACACUGACAUUUGUUGAGUAAUUUUCCUUUUCAAUAGGCUAGGAAAUAUUAAUAAACUUUCAAAGUCCUUUAAGUGAGAAUAUUUAUGGUCCAAGUAGCAUUUUAUCUGUGAUGAAUAAGAACUGUAAACUCAGACAUUAUAACUACCCCUUUUAACAUGAGUGGCAAUUUCAUUUCCAUUUUUUUUUCCUUCUUUCUCGGAGGACUUAAGCCCAAGCCAACUUAUCAUAUUUCUACUUUUCACUUCUCACAGUUUCUAUUAUUUGAUGUGCUUUUCAUUGUCAAAAACUUUGUAUUGCAGUUUCUUUUCCAAAAUUCAGGAGUCUUUUCAGAAGUUAUAUGCUUGUCACAAGUUGAUUCAUAUCUCAACCUUAUUUUCAGUUAUCAGGUCUUAUUUUCAAGUAAAGUUCAAUAAUACCAAUUGCUCCCUUAUUUUACUCCCUUACCUUUUCAGAGAAGAAGCGAAUUCCUUUAUCAGGAUAGUCAGCUUCAUAAGUUUCGCCUAACAAAGGAUUGAAUGGCUUGCAGUGCCGCCCUACAGACGAUGCAUAUCCAGAAACCGCAAAUGCAGCAACAUUUAGAACCCUUUGGAGACUAUUUCCCUGAUAAGAUAAACAAAGAUAAGCAUACACUAUGACAGCAAUUUAUGAUUAUUUAGGAAGCCUCCUUAAUCUUACCAUUUUCCCAUACUCAUAUGCCCGAUCUAAAAGAUACGAGUACUCCAAGUCCUCACAACACUUUUGAAGAGACGAUAUUGGCUCGUUAAAGUACACAGGGAGGCAAACUCGAGUGAGAUCCUUUCCCACGUUGUCUUUGAUCAUAGACCAAAGGCUGACCCCUUUCUCCUUCUCAACUGGAGUGGGAAGCUCUUUUCGCCUUUCAAUGUGUGGGUAUCUAUAACCAUGAACUUCCUUCUCAGUUUGCAUCUCCUCAACAUUAUCAAAUUGACUUCGAGGUUCACGGUGCUUAUUACUGUUAUUUACAACUCCUUUCAUAGACCCACAACCUAUGUGUGGUUCAGUAAAAUAUUCUUUUGUGUCAUGAAAUGGCAUUUCAUCUUCAUCUGACACUUCCUCAAGCUCUUGUUUCUCAAUAUCAUCAGAUGAUUCAGUUGUGCUGCACUCUAAAAACCAUAAUAGAUGUUACUACAAAAUCGCACAUGCUAUGAAGCAUGAUAAAAUAGAUAAUGCUCCGGGAUGGCAGAUAUUUUGAGUAUUUAAGCUUUGAAAGACAAAAAAGCUACAAAGUGAGAACAAAAAAUGAUGAUUUCCAUUGACCAUUAUAGUCUUCAUAAUUAUACUAGCCACUUUUUUAUCAAAUGAAAAACGACAAGCAACAAAACUAACCAUUCAAAUGGGCAACCAGUUGGCAUUAUAAAUCUUAUCAACAAUGUAUGCAUCAUCAAGUCAAUUCUAAUGUUGAAGAGAGGUCGGCAAAUUUUUUAUUAAAGAAUGGAUCUUCAAUGGAUUAGUUUAAAACAUAAGGGAAUGUAUAGUUCCACUUUAAGUGUAGUCAAAUUCUAACAACAUCUCAUGGAGAUCCUUAGUUUAGGCAUAACCCAAUCAAUUGUGUACUCAAGAAUAACUACUUUUUUUGUUCAAGGAAAGUGUAUUGUAUUUAGAAAUAGAAAAUGAAAGAAUAUAUAAGAAAGUGGAUAGAGCUAACAUAAACUGUGUACCACUAUAUUUUCCCUGUCCCAAACCGGGAAACUCAUGCUUCGUCAAUUGGUAUUCACCAUUAUGAAUCCCAGACGCAUCAGCUUCAUAAUUAGCUGCCUGCAUAUGCAAAAGUAAUAGGCUUAAAUUUAAUGCAUAACGAAUACAAUUGUAACAUAAAAAGAUGGGAGGUCACUCAAUAAUGAACCAUUAUUAAAAAACCAUUGUAAUGCCUUCAUAUAUAUGGAACUGGCAAACCAAACACCAUAAAGAAUAAGAAUAUCUUAUGAGAAUUGCAUUCAAGAAACACAAGACAAUGCUCUAACAAAUUACCUAAAUGGAAAAUGAUUAUAAAAAAAUAAGAAGCAUCCAAAAGGGUAAUGACAAUUUUGGUUAUGACAUCUCUCUCGCUCAUAAUAUCGAAGUAGUUUAUAUUAAACAAAAGUUUAGAAUGAUUUAAGCCCAGCAGAGCUUGUUAAUUAGGACCAGUCCUUGAAAAAAAAUCUGCUCUUGAAAGCUGGAAUCAAUCUUACUUGCAUGUAUUUAAGGUAGUCUGAGAAUUAAAAAAUUUGUUAUAAAGUUGGAAAGCAUGUCAAAGCUUGCUAAUUUAAUCUUUACAUGUCCACUAAUUAAUGUGUUCAUAUAGUAACGUUCUCUUGUUAGUGGGAAAGGAGUAUAUGUAUCUGCCUAGCUUUGUUAGAUUUCCUCCAAUGCAAUCGACAGAAAUUCGACGGAUCCCUCGGUGGAUAAGUCCAACAACUCAGCAGCAGUGUGGACUUGGGUAUCCUGUCUGGUGGAUCUGAUCAAUUGUUAGAGACAUGCAUAUAGCUUUAAAUGCUUUGUGCCAUCGAGCUACCAAGAUGAGCUUUACUGUUGAUUGGCAGGUCCCACACUGUGGGAUCCACUUCAGCCAACGCAUACUGAUGCUAGCUUUCUUCCUCAACCAAUAGUUGAGGAAACGGAAAUUAUGAUCCUUUUGUGCUGUUAGACACGAUAAAUAAGUGCAUUUAAUGGCAUGCAUCUGUUCUAUGAGGUAUGCAAUUCCACUGACCAGAAAAAUUAAAAUCAAGUAUAAUCGUUUAAUUGGUUGAGAUAUCGAUUACACAAUAGGCAGUCAAGAAAAGUAACUCUGAAAUUUGCCCAACCAAACUGAAAAUAUAGACUAAAAAGAUAAGGAAAAAAAUGCAGUCCUAAGGUGUGAGAAAAUUCCUUCAUAACAAGAUCAAAGAUUUAGUUCAUUGGAUUUCAGGAGUAACUUCCAACUUCCAAUCAGGAGGAAGACUGUUUAUUACUUCAGAGAACUAGGAGAACAAAAGGACUAAGAUGGAAGUUGGAGCUGGGAGAAAAGGCAAGAUGGUCUAUGACUAGAUAUCAUGUGCAACUUAAAAUUUAACUUUGGGAAAAUGUAGUAAGAACUAGUUACCUCCAACUGCCUUAGCGUGUCGAGUAAAUUGGAUCGUUCUUCACAGAGAACCUUAUACUGUCCUUGUAUUUGAGAAAAUUCAGAGAGCAUUAUCUGCUCGCAAUCCUGAACAAGGUUCUCACUGGUUCCCUCUUCAAGUAGGCGUUUUUUCAGUCUUUCAGUCGAUACAGAUAAAUCAGUUUGUACAAGGGAGAGACUAUCAUUCAAGUAUCUAAGCGGAAAUAGGCUCCGAGUUGAGACCAAAGCUUGUAGCCAAGCUGCCCGAUCACUCCUUGAAUUAGUUCUUAAAUGAAGGGUCUUUGUAGCAGUAAAUAUGUAAAACUUCCGAUCAUCAGACUUGCUUUCUCUGAAGGAUGAGAUCUGCUAAAUAAAGAGAAAGAAACAUCUCUUUAGAUUACGCAAGAAACAUGAAGUAUUAGCAUUCAAUGUUCAAAACAAAUACAAAUCUCAUUACAAACAUGAAGUAUUAGCAUUCAUUCAAAGAGCACAAGUCAAUGGUAAAGAAAAAUAUAUCAUCAAUGCAGAUAACAUAAGGCCCUGAAAAGAAAAGCAGCUGAUAUCCAGAAAUGAAUUCAUUAGCCUGAACUCAGCCCAUCCACCUUCAGUCUUCAGACCACCAGAAAAUAACCCAGGUGAGAGAAAACCACUUCAAGCUCCUAAUUAAUGACACCCACAAUGUAUGAAAACGAGAUCAUGCCAUUUCCGUUUCAAAACCCAGAGCAGAAACUCUACCCAAAACCCCCCCUUCGGUUUAUCACUGUAGAGAAAAAUCCUCAUCAUGGACUUUGAGCAUAUCCACUAAUAAUUAUAAAACCCGGCUUUGAAAGGGACUAAGAAUAUGCUUAGAAGUUAAAAUAAUUCUUUUUCCCGAUUUAAAAGAAGUGGUUGCAUACAUCUCAACCUUGAAAAGGGCAAAAAAGCCACCUAAUGGCCUCAAAGUCUUCACAUUGUUAAUAUAAGCCACUGAAAAUGAAACCCAUUGUUCAACCUUCAAAUAUACAAUAAAAUAAAACUUGAAAGCAACCCCUAACUUGUGAACUCAACCCACGCCAAGUCAAAAGGAAACAAACAAGUGACAACCAAAACCCAGCAAAACACAGAAUCCCACUUCCAUAUUUCAGAAAAAACACCAUCCCCACCGUCCGAUCACUGCUCUCUUUCAGUGUUUUUCUUUAUAUAAAAAAAAAAAUUUCUCAAAGUCACGUCUGCCCUUUGCAUAUCUGUUACUAAGGAGGGCCUUAAAAGUAAGUUUCAAAAAAAAAAACCAAACCUUGUUUUCUUCUCUUCUUUUGGGCGCUUUUUAAACUAAAAUUACACUAGGAUGGGACGUGAAAUUUUUUGAAAGAAAAAAACACUGAAGUGAAUCAGAGAGCUGAACGCUCAAAUGAGAGAUUGAAUCCAACGAAUAAAAAUCCAGCACCGAUGUGACCACAGGAUAAUACCUAGGCCAACGACGUAUCCUAUCAGGCCCAUGCCCACCUGCUGAUGUGACCCACUUCACACUAACAACCAGUUAAACUGUUAAAAAAACAGAGCACGAAACGUGAAAAUUGAAAUUGAAAAUCACAAAACCCAGAAAAAGAGAGAAACCAAAAACCCAGAACACGACGAACAACGCGACGAACCAACGGUUCAUACCCAGUUCCCGCUCAGAUAACAAAGCCUAGUUAUAUUUCUCGCAGAUUCACAAUCAGAACCCAAAAUUUUUUAUAAAAAAAUUAAAAAUUAAAAAAAGAAACAGAGAGAGAGACACACAAAAGAGAGAAAGGAUAACGUUUUUGGUAAAAUUUUGAAUCAAGGUUUCUCCCCCAUAUUAGAAAGCGUUACCGAAAUAGCGCCACAAAGAGAGCUCCAGCAUUUCCCGAUUGCAACAUUGUUGCUCUAAAACCGAUCGCAGCGAAUUACGAAGACGAAGACGAAAACAAAACGAACCGUUUCGGUGCAUACAUUUACCUUGAGGUGGACGAUUCCAACAGUUUUUGGGGGCUUAUUGUUCCGUCUCCCCGUGCCGCUGUCAAUCCUCGAAAGGCGGUGAGUGGAGAUCUCACCGAUGAGUCGAACGUCGUCGUUUGGCGUCAAGAGACUGAGCGUUUCGGGGCGCCGAAUCUUGGCGUAGGAGAGGACGCCGUUUCGGAGAAGAAACCACCUGGAUCUCCACCCCUUGCUGUAAUUGGUCCACUUGUGGAGAACUCCGGCGACGGUGGUCUCAGAUCCCGCCGGCCGGCCGGAGGCAUUGGUAUCAGAUCCAAGCGGCGCCGUCGCCAGACUCGUCGGAAGGCUACGGGUCCGGGAGAGCGAGAUCUCCGGCGACUGGUCGCCGAGUCCCGCGCUCUCCAGCGUGAUGCAGCAGAGCGGGUGCAUCUCCUUGACUCGCAUUUCGGCCAACCAAAACGACGUCGCGAAAAUUCCAAUGCAAAAGGAAACGAAACGAUUACAAGCGACAACCGUUCACCGAUUGUUAAUUCCCCAUUCUUUCAUGCGCUGAAUGAAAAACUGCAACAGAGGAAGAAGAAGAAGAUUAAUACGAAUAAUUAAUAAAUAUACGCAGCGUCGAGUUGCGUCAAUCAAAAUCGAAAUUAAUUACGAGAAAUGAAAAUGCAGGCAUGCAUAUGUCGAUCGUCACCAUCAAAAAAUGUGAAAAUUGAUUUUAGGCUAUUUUGAGAGAGAGAGAGAGAGAGAGAGAGAGAGAAGGCUCCUCUGCUUUCUCUCUCUUUCUCUCGGUUAGAGACGAACCUGGGGAGAGUGGAGAGCUCUGAAACUGAGAGAGAUUCGGGAAGAGAGAGAGAGUGUGUGUGUGUGAUUGUGUGUGUUUGAAAGAGUAGAGGAUUAUUAUAAUGAGGACCGAAAAGAGCUUCUUCUUCUUUUCUUUUCUUUUCUUUUUUCUUUUUAUUUAUUUUAUUUAUUUAUUUAUUUAUUUUUAAUAAUUAUAUUUGUUUGGCUUGGAUUGAUGGCAAAGUAUUUAUAUAGAAUAAGUUGGAAAGGGAAGGAAGGAGGGUUUGGUGUCUCUAUAUGGUGUGUAUAAAGAGCAGUGGGUGUGAGACUGAGACUGAGAGUCUGUCUGAGACUGAGAGAGAGAGAGAGAGAGGUGUGCGGUGAGUAAUUAUAGUGGCAAAAUAGUAAUUAAAUGCAUUGGGAAACAGAUUUCCAAGCUGGAUUCUACUACUUACUUCUCCUUCUUCCCGCUCUGUUUAAUCCUCUUUUGCUUUGGACAUAGAGCAAGAAGAGAGGGGGAGAUCUUUUAUUUCUCGCGAGAUGAUUGAAAGUAUAUCGGAAAAAUCUCGCGUGGACGGUGGACGGUGGAUGUGGGGUGUUGGCGUGGCGGCAAUCGGGGGAGAGGGAACUGAGAAUCGGGAACCGGGAAAUGGGCGGGACAGAAAAUACAGAUCCUGAAAGGGGUGUUAUUAAUAUCCAUUUACUGUGGUAAUUAUCAUCAAAUUUUUUUUUCCAGAGAUAAAUGAAAAUUAUCAAGUUCGGUCAAAGUUUUUUAGGGCCCUACCUAUCCUGUUUAAUUAGUUGCUGUCUAUUAAUAUUUUCGGUAGCCCAAGUUCAGUGGUUUCCCUCCACAUGGCAUAUUCCUAUCCGACACUUGGGAGAUUUCUAGAGGGAAAGAAAAAAUUAUACAAAUAUUGAAUAUAUAAAAAAUUAUAUUUGGGAUUGGUUACAGAAAAAAAUUGGUAACUCCUUUUUUUUUUUUUUUUUUCUUUCUCAAAGUUUAAAGAAAAGAAGGUUGCACAAUAUAAUAUGAGGCUUUGAUAUGUAUGAUUUUAAGAUCCGUAGAAGAUAUUCGUUGUAAUUUAUUAUAUAUUGAAAAGAAACGAUAUAAUUUGAGGAAUGUUACCGAAAAAUAUUGGAAAAGAGGUUUGUUUUAAUUUUGGUCAAAGGUAAACUUCGUUAGAGAAAUGAAGUUAGGACAAAAAUUGUUUGUUCCAAUAAGAACAGUGGAUUAAAGGCCAAAAAGAAACAAAAAGAUUAGUGCCUAAUUGAGACAUUAUGAUAUGAUUCAUUCCAUGAUUUGAUUCAUUAUAAAUUUUCUCAAUCUAACUUUCUUUUUUAUCCCCAACUCACUGUGCGUUACUUUCCAUCGAUUGGAUUACUUGACUGAACCAAAGAAAAUAAAUAAAUGGCAUUAGAGAAAGACUUGUUUAAAGAGGCAAGUGGCACAAGAAGUUUUCGAGGGCAAAAAACUUGUAUUCCAUUUUUAAUUUUAAUUUUUUUUUAAUACGAGUAAUAGUUUAAACUAUUGUCGUGGAAAUUCAAACCUAAGACUUUUGAUAUGCAAUUUAAUGCUAUUUUUUAUUAGGCUAAAUUUAUUUCUUAAAUUAGAGAUAAUUGAUUAAAAAGAUAGAGAAAUAGAUUCAUUUUGACAUGUUCUAUUCAAAUCAGUUUCCCAAACUUUUCUUUUAAACCACCCUUAUGAUUGUGUGUCCGAAUUACAAAUUCUAAUUUUGUCUUACACAAUAAUUAUUACCAUUGUUGAAACAACCAAAUCAAAUGAAGCCAUCAACAGAGGGAUUCGAAAACUCAAAUCAUGUAUGUUAAAAAAAUAGAGAAAGUUAGAGCUGCAGAAUGGUUACAAAAAAAAAAAAAAGUGUUGGAAAAGGGAGAUAGAAUAGAAAGACAAAGACACGUGAGAAGAAAAGAGUGAAAGAAAUGUUAAAGAAUUCAGAAUAACCAUAAUGAAGACAAAUGUAUAUCUUUAAAGGAAAAGACAUUUCCUCAAACAUAUAAAUCCUAUUUCAAAUAUAAUUGAUUAACUAGUAAUACACUGACGUGUGUAGUAGUGACAUAAUUUAGUAAUAUUCUAAUAUUAUUGAAGAGCAAGGCUGGCCUCCUUAAAACUCAUGGAAUUUCGACAUUUGUCAAAUUCUGAUAAUAUUGACAAAAUUUCAACAAAAAAGAAUAGAAUAAAAUAAAAUAAAAAUGGACACGUGUCAAAAACACAUUAGUUAAAAAGAGGAUCUCUUUCGUAAUUUUAAAGAGCCAAACUUUUUUCUGCAUCAUACGCAUUCUUCUAUAUCUAUAUAUAUUAUCUAUAUAUAUAAAGCAAAAGGCAGAGAAUGGUGAAACAUUCAAAAUACCAGAAAAUGCCCUUGGUUAAUGCAAACAUUAAGAAUUCAAAUUAUUAAUUAAAUGAGGAUAAUAUGGUAAAUUCAACUUUUUCAUAUUUAAAAAAAUUAAAAGAAAAAGAAAAAGCAGAUAAUGGAUCCUAUUUUUAUGGAACACAACUACCCAUUAUCUUUUUUAAUUCUAAAAUAAAUUUACUUAUUUUUUUAAAAAAACCUCUUGCAAGCGCGGAAGCGCGUGCAGAGAGGCUAGUUAUAUAUAAAGCAAAAGGCAGAGAAUUGUGAAACAUUCAAAAUACCAGAAAAUGCCAUUUGUUAAUUCAAACAUUAAGAAUUGAAAUUAUUAAUUAAAUGAGGAUAAUAUCGUAAAUUCACAUUUUUUAAUAUUAAAAAAAUUAAAAUUAAAAACAAAAUAAGAUAAUAGGUCCUACUUUUAUGGAACAUAACUACCCUGUUAUUUUUUCUUAAUUCUAAAAAUAAAAAUAAAAAAGAAAAAGAAAACCAAUUGGCACAUGCGUAAGCAUGUUUCAAGGGGCUAGUAUAGUUAUAUACAUAAGAACUCCUUUGACACACAUAUGCAAAAAUAAUUUAUAAAAAACACAAAAAGAAAAAUUUCUUCACACACGUCACACAGUCACACUGCUAUUUGUAAAAAUAUAAAAAAUCUUAUUUAUCUGAUAAAAAGGAAAGUAUUUUCCUAUGCAUAAUACAAUAAGCCAAAAGGCCUUCACGGAAGCAAAAGGUUACAUGAUUCCAUAAUACUUGUAAAAUAUAUUAUUCUUGGUGUUAAUUAGGCUGUUAAUAGUUGGUUUGCAUGGUCGUUAGAUAGGAACCCAUCAAAUCAAAUCAAAUCGACUUCAAAGUUCAAUCUAACUAAUUAAUCUAACUAAUUAAUCCAACUAAUUAGUCUAACCAUAAUCAAUGUGCCGUCCCUUUUACUCAUUGUGAUAUGACCAUUCCUUUGGUACGAGCCUAUACACCAAAAUGAUAAAGUAGCAAGACUAGCUAGGUUGCCGAAGAAGAAAAGAUGAAUAAUGACUUCCACUUCACCCAAAAAACAACAAAAAAGAUGGUGACUUCCACAAAUUCAUUUUCGUAAACCUUGUACAAAUUUACAUUAGUCGUUUGACUUUAUAAAAAAGAGUUGUAGAUGUGACAAACUUAAAAGAAGUGAUAUAACUGUAUUGUAAUUUUCACUUUACAUAAUUAGUACCGCACGCUUGUUAGACUAUGAAUUAGAACCAUUGUGGAUAAGGACAGUAAAGAUUUAAAGAUAUCAUUCCACGUAGAUUAUGAUAAAAAGGUAACUUAAAGAUCUUCUAAAGAGAUUUGCAUUACAACAAAAUUAUUAUAGAACUAGGAAACCCUAACACUAGACUACGCGUGAUUAACAGUUCCUAAUUAAUCAACUGUCUACAUAUAUAUAUAUUUGUUAAAUGAUGUUAAACACAAAUUUACUAACAAAUCAACAGAGAUUUGUGAAUAGAACAGUAAAAGGUUGGGUGAUGGGGGGGGGGGGGGGCCUUUAGAAGCAGCAAUGGGUUGCCCAUCUGGAACCCUCUUAGGUUUAGUUGGUUUUAGUCAAUGAUAGCUGCUGGACACAGCUAUUAAAGGAAAGAUUAUUACUUGUAUAAUUGAGCACAUGAUUCAGUUUACCUUUCUAUUUAAUUUUCGUCAAUGAGUUUCUAUUUUUGGCUGAGGAAAAAAAAAAAGUAUUUCUAUCUUUCUUACCUUUCAAUUAAAGUGACCAACAAAUGAUUUGAACAUGCAUGGCCGCAGCUUGGUGUGGCAAAUCCAAGAAGCGUGGCCGCAACUUUAGGUUGGUUUGGUCCACUCUACUUCACACUUUUCUAGUUCUUUCAGUGUCAGGCGUAUAGCUUCAUGUUAUUGCACUACUUUUGGCAGAGAUUGUGACUCAAAUUAGCUAAAUCAUCUGCCAAAAAAUUAGCUUCUCUGUAAACAUGCUUGCAAGCAAGAGCAUAAAAUCCCAACUACUCUUUACCCAAGUUCCCAAAAAGCAUCAAGAAACUUUUCAUUGAUUCAUGUUCUUCUUUUUAUUUUAUUAGCUAUUAGAUUUCAUGAAUUGAAAUUCUUGAGUAUUCUACUUCUGGUUGAAUUAUGAAUUCUCCAACAUAUUAAAGCCAAUGAGCAAGGGGUUUAUAGUGAUUAAGAACAGUUAUUCCCGAAAUUCUGAGUUCGAAUCCCCAUCCCAUAUCACUUGUAUUAAAAAAAUAAAUAAAAAAUAAAAAGUCAAUAAAUCCUUUGAAAUUCACAAGCGAUAUAAUUGUAUGAAAUGUGUUGCAUCCUGAAAAGGGGCCCAUUGGCCUUGUACGUUGCUCUACCCACGCUGUAAUGGUUAUGUUUUGAUAGUUACAAACCAUGAACAUUGAAACCAACGGUGAUAUUUGUCUUGAAUUCUUUUAAUGUCAAAACCAAUGUUUCUAUAGAUUGAAUUGUCGUUGGCAUCGUCUAGUGAAUCAAAUCAAGAUUUUUCCAAUACCCUACAUCAAAUUACACCAAAAAAAGAAGAAGAGAGUAACAAGUUUGAGAAAUGAAAUGUUAUUUUUUUAAUACAAACGAAUGAGAGAGAGAGAGAGAGAGAGAGGUUUACGUAAAUAUUCAUUGGGUGAUUGAGAGUUUCAAACCUCUGAACUAUACCAUUGGUUUUGGGAGAUGAAAUAUAAAUCGAAGUCUUGAUGUAUAAGUUUUUUACAAGUUCUGAUUUGAAGUUUGAAAAACAAAAAACAAAAAUCAAUAUAAACAUACACCACAAAUGCAUAUAUAGUUCAUCGAAUAAAAACCUGACAAAAAAAUGUGAGAGAGUGAAAGCAAAUCAAAUCAGAAGCAAGCAAGCAAUAGCAAACACUCAACCCCAAAAAUAAUGGUGUCAUCUCUUUGUGAGACCAAAACUAUCUUCUUUGCUAUCUCUUAGUCAUGUGUCUCUGUAUUAAGGGUAUGUCUUAAUACCCCCAUUAUUUUUGCUGCGGGCCCCCACAAGGGCUCUUAAGCUUAAGAUAGUCCUAAUCACAAGUCGCUUCACGCAUGAUCUUAAAGUUUAAAACAAACAAACAAAACUCCUACUUCUCUACAUGUAUUUUCAAGUACAUUUUCAUCAACUUUAUAAUAUUCCUCUUCUUUUUCUUUUUUUCUUUCUUCUUUCUUUCUUCUUCAUGCUUUUGGUUGGAGGAGGCACUUUGAUUUGAACUGAUUGACAUGUAAACCAAACAAUACUCUUGUUUUUAAUUCCACAAUCUGUAUUUAUAUAUAUAUAUAUAUAUAUAUAUUCUAUAUAAGGCAUGCAUGAUGCAUUAGAUAAUUAUUGGUGUAAAUAAUGAUGGUCGUGGGAGUUGUUGUUGAAGGUGUGGGGAUUGUAUGGGGGGAUCCACAUGGUCGUGUGUUUACGGGAGAGGAGAGCGGCUUAACCAGUGAUAGCACAACCUAGCAUAAAAACUCUCUUCUAACGAGAAUAGCAUUGUUUUACUAUUUUCGACCAAUAAUGCAAUUAUAUGUGGAAAAAUUAUUCCAUCUGUCAUUGUGCUAUUAACCAAUGAUAGCAAAAAGUUGAAUAGUUAUAAUAACCCGUGAUGAACUUCUAAUUACUAAAUUAUUUAUGUAUAUAUAUUAUAUUGUCAUACUGUGAAUUUGAAUAAGACAUUACUGAUUGUUAUAUUUGUCCUAGUUAAUGUAGACAACUAGUCCACUAUGUGGUAGCUUUAAUUAGGCUUACUUGUAAAUUGCCUUUUAUCUUUGUUCUUUCCAUCUGGGUUAUAUAUGAUCUUUCUAAAAGUGGCCUGCAAAUGGAUAUCGUCUUUACAUGCACCUUAAUUUAGUAUCUAGUAAACUUGGAAAAUAGCUUUUGUUUGUGUAUCUGGAGGCAAGCAGCGUGGGAGCAUCAUUUCCAAGUUGUAUGGGAUGGUGUAAUGAAUCUAUCAACUAAUUAUUUAAUUAAGCUUUAAUCUACAAUUACAACAAGUUUUAAGCACGGUAUGUUGGGUAUCUAAUGAUGCUAGUAAGUAGUGCCAAGUGAUUACAAAACACAAAGUUGGAGACAAGAAGAAUAAAAAAAUUGUGAAAUUACCAAGAAUUAGUCCGUGGGUUGUACUUGUAUCCCAGAUGGUUUGCAGCACAUAAUGUUACAGUGAUUUAUUUAUUUUCCUUUUUAUACGAGUGAUAUAGGGGGAAGGGAAUUCGAAUACAAUACUUUGAGCGUAAAAAAACUGCUCUAACCACUUAAAUUACAAAACUACCUUGUAAUUUUAGUGUCACUUUUAAUAUUUCUCCCCCUUUUCCCAUUCCCUUAUUGAAGAAAAGUAUAUGAAAAACUAGAGCUGGUCUAUUAGCAAAUUGAACUUCCCUUGGAUCUGGCAGGACUGUUUGCUAGUUUAUAAAUAUACUUUUUUCCUCUAACAAAUGAGAAGAAAACAACUAAAACAUGCAUUUAGAAGUGAAGUUUAUCUACUUUUUAUAUCAGUAAAGUUACCUCAAAAGAGUGAGGAAAGCUUCUACUUGAAAGGAAACUUAUAUUAAUAUUUAGGCUGCAUAUACUGUUAGAAGAACAACACCACUUCUAUAGUUCUUAUUUAUUAUGUAGGUCCAGAAAAUUCUACCUAAGUUAAAUUAGGAGUUAAUUGAAAACAACUAUAAUCUCAUCAGCUAAAUAUAUAGGAUUCAAAAAUCAGCUCUUGAAUUGCAUAAGUUUCUAAAUUAUGCAACGAGUAGGAUGAGAGUCGAACUCUUUUCGAUGAUAAAUAGUUAACGCUUUUAUAAAAGAAAAUUCAUUUUCUUCAUCUGAAAUUUCAGUCUGCAGGACUGGCAGGACUUCUGCCAUUCUUAAUACAGAGAUCGAAUCGAGUACUAAUAUGCAACCUCCCACAAAAAGCAACAGGUUGGCAAAGAAGAUUGACUUUUGUGGUCAUUGGUCAACCUGUUAAAUCAUAAACAUGCCAUUAUAAAAAUAUAAUUAUUUAAUAAAUCAGUAAUUUUGUUCCUUGUGCUAUCUAAUCAACCAUCACUUAGCACUUAAAUAAUUGCAAAAACCUUGUUAUAAUUGUACAACGCCAUUGACAUGACCCCUUGUCCUUGGUGGUCACUGGUCUCCCUUGCUGCAAUUAUACCCUUCUCUCUGUGCUGCAGAUUCUCUCUUCCUCUUCCCACUGUUACCAACAGAACAAAAAAACUACAAGAUAUGCACAUGCAUGGAAGAAAAUGUCCAUAACUUUAUGAAAGAUUUCAAAGAUGAAAAACCCAACACCAUCAAACCAAGAUUUUUUUAGAAAAGUAUUUUAAUUUGGGCAAUGAAAAUUUGCACGAAUUAUAUGGUUUAGGAUUCAAAAGAAACCAGCAACCACCAAUCAAAUCCUUGUUUCUUAAGUACCAAACAAUGAACAAUUUUCUCCAUUGGAGAUCACCAGACUUCCAGUUGGGAAACAACUCAUUGAAGCACUAACAAACGGCCCCCACAGCUCGUUAUGUCCUCUGUGCAUGGAGCAAUAUUUCUUUGUUCCCCUAUCAUUUCAAAAUUUAUAUCAUAUCACAAAUUGUAUCUACCCAACACAGCAUGUGCCCUGCCCAUACCAUCAAUCCUCACUAGGCAUGUUGAUUUUUCUCACAUAUUGCAUGCAAUUUUGUUGCUUAUGAUAUUGGGUUUCGUUUUGCUUGAUUGAUUUUGCAUGAUUCAUGUCUUCUGUAGGCCACCCACAUAUGCAUAUAGUUCUUUUCUUUCAACAAGGCAACCACAUCAUUGAUUUGAAAUUUUGUAGUGUGAAUGCCUAUGCUCGGACAUGGACUCUUGCUCUAUUUAAGUGGUAGAGAUCCACUCUGCCGGGUGUCGGUUCUUUCUUAAACGAUGGACGUGUCAAGAAAAUUUCAUUUUUAUUUUAUUUGUUGACAAUUACUCAUGUCAAUAAAUAGAAUCAAAACUGAAGAAAAUUUCUCAACGCGAAAUAAAAGAAUUGGCAUUUCUGUCACGUGUAUAUGAUACUAAAACAGUUUUAAUUCUGUUGGAUCAUAUAGAGUUAAAAAUGGUGAUGUCCUUUCAAAUUAUGUUUAAAUUUAUGCAAGGACUUUAAAAUAGCCACUGCUUUCAACCACUUUGUACCAAAUUAAGGGCCCUCCCUCCCAGCUGGUUAAUCUACCAGCUCAUCCACAGCCCUUUUUCAAGGCUCAAAAUCUGCAGGUGUCUCUUACUUUAUUUAUAUAUUAAAAUUAAAAUAAAUUUUUUUAUUUUUAUAAAUAAAUAAAUAAAUAAAACCCUUCCCUCUAGCUCAGUUUUAAUGGUGACCGUUCUAAAGUUUACAUCACAAAUAUAGGAAACUACUUCAAAGUCCAUCCACGGAUAUUUUGUACCAACAGAUUUCAUUUCACAGCUUUUCUUUCGUUUGUGAAUUUUUCAUCAAGGGCAAGAGGGUUGGUUGAAUUCUUUUGUACUGUUAUUCCAAUAAUUGUUACCUAUCAGUAGAGGGUGUUUAUAUUUUUCUUGUUUGGCCAACUAAAAGAACAGUAUUUUAGAUUCGAAUCUAGGACAAAUUCUUGAAAUUAUAUUGAAUUUUCACUAUUGGACUGAGUGCAUAGGACAAUAAAAUAGUCACUUUUGGUAACUCAAAAAAAGAUAAAGAUAAAUGGAUUGGAUUGUUUUUUUUAUAGAUGGAAAAUGAAGAGAAUUGUCUCGAAAUUCAAAUUAUGGAGGGGACAAAUUUCUUGACGUUCCAAUUGAGUCACAUCAGUACACACACAGAUUGCAAGUGAAUUGUACCUCUAGUCGGUCAUGUUCAACAUCACCCCAAAAAAGGCAGGAAAACUUACUUGUAAUGGGGAUAGCACUGUUUUGCUAUCCCCGACUAAUAAUAUAAUGACACGUGAAAAAAUCAUCUCACGUUUGAUUGUGUUAUUUGUUGAAAAUUGCAAAAAACGUUCUCCUCGUUGCAUAAAAGUUUCUUUCCCAAAAAAAAAAGCUACGAGUAUUUUAAGAAAAAGGAAAAAAAGUUGUCAAAAUGUGUAGGGUUUAUUUCGUCAUUCAAGGAGAACACACACAAGGGAAAAAAGAAAAAGUAAAUUUAGGUUUUACCCAUAAAAAAACUUUCACUUUUGGAAAAAGCCAAAGCUUUUUCAAAAAAGACAGAAUAACCUCUCAACUUUCAAACCAAAGACAUGCAAAUGUAAAGGAUUUCUUAGGAAAUCAAAAAAUAAAUAAGGGCAAUUUUGUCCAUUUUUGCUUCUUUUAAAAAUUUUCUCUCUCCUUUGGGCUUUUCCAAAGUCUCCCAAAAGAAAAAGAAUAAGAAAAACCCACAUACCAAAUCCCAUUGGCUUCCAUCUGCAACAUAUUAAUAAAAUUCAAUUUGCCUAAAAAUUGGGAAAAUGGAAACAGUCUAAAGUAAAAUUUCAUGUGAGCUUGUUGAAUUGAAUGGUUUUUUUAAAGUCUUUCUGAGCUCAAUCAAAAUCUUUUUCGUUUUGUGCACCAAACUUCCCCUGGAUCUGACAGCAAGCAAUCUUAAUUGUAGAUUGACCCAAAAUUCACUGCAAUCUUAAUUGUCAAGUAAUCACCUUACUUAAGUUUUCAAUUGCCAAAAAGGCACACAAAUGAUCACCACCACCACCACCAGGUACGUGGGGGUGGGUGGCUAGAAAUUCCACCUGUUAAAAUGAAUAAACAGGCUGAUGAAUAUACUCCAGUAUUUCAGUUUUGUACAUGAGUAUAUACGUCCAUUAAAUCCAUAGAAAAUCAAGCCAUUGUUUCGACUGUAAAUUUGCAAAUAUUUAGAGAGGGACAAGACAAUCUUCAAUCUCACCUAAAAAAGGCAACUUGGAGAAUCUAAUGGCCAUGCACGGUGCUUAAUGGGCCAUAAUGUGUCACCGCCAAUGCAACCAGGCAGUAUUCAUAAGAACAAAUUAUGUUAAGGGUUCAAUCCAGCCAUUUUAAACAUUUUCAUCGAUCGAAUGACUAUUGUUGACCUACUCAUUACAACUCCUUAUAACCUACUCAUGAGUCAUUACAACCCCUUAUUAAAAUUUAGAACCUUACUCUAAAAAAGGGUUCUCUCUCUCAACACACAUAUAUAUAGAGAGCAGUCCCGAUCUCUUGGACCACAGGAGUCCAAGAGAUUGUGGUCACCUACUUUUAGAUAUUAAUCUAAUGAUUCAAAAAAGUUUUUUAAAAGGAGUGCAAAAGUGAGUGAACCGUUGAAUUUACAUCCAACGGUGAGUGACCACAAAUCUCUUGGACCCAUGUAGUCCAAGAGAUUAGGACUGAUAUAUAUAUAUAUAUAUAUAUAUACAAUUCUCUUCUAUUGAUGGAUCCUUCAAAUAAUUUUAUUUGAGGGACGCCCUUUAGGGUACCCUACAAUUUUUUUCCCAAUGAUCAAAACCAUCUAUUUUUUAGGACUUCAUUCAUAGAUCAUCCUUACAAAAAAUUAGACAAAUCGGAAACCGUUUCGACAUCCAAUUGUGUCUUACAAAAUCAAUGAACACGGUGCUUCAAGAAAAUACUAAAAUUUCAAUAACUCAAUUGAGUGGUCAAAUGAUAUCCGAUUCAAGUGAUUUUUUGUAGAGAUGAUUUUUGAAUGAGUAUCUACAAAAUAGACAGUUUGGAUUAGUGAAAUACAAUUCAGAGUGGAGCCUACAAGGAGUAUCCCUCAAAUAAGCUUAUUUGAGGGAUCCCUCAAUGGAAGUUCUCUGUGUAUAUAUAUAUAUAUAGAAAGAGAGAGAGAGAGAGAGAGAGAGAGAGAGAUUAAGAGAGAUCAUUUUGAUAUUUAAAAAAACCAAAAGAAACCGCAUGUGGGCUUAAUCCUUCUUUCGAUUUGAACUGUAUACUUUCAGUUUUUCCGCAAGAUUGUUCUUACGAAAAACCAACCAAUAAGAAAAUCAUUUAUUUAUUUAAUUAUGACAAAAUAAAUAGAUGAAUACAGUGAUUUCGAUAAAUAUAUCAAAUGUUUAAAUGAUUUCUCAUUUUUGAUUGUUUGCGUGAAUGAUUCUUAAAUAGGUAUACAAAAUUUAGAUAGUUUGUAUAUAAUCAUUGAACCACAUUGCCAAGUCACCCGUAUAAAGAAAACUUAGUAAAAUGUGUACAUAUAUAUUGCUUCUAUUGAGGGACUCUUCAAAUAAGCUUAUUUGAGAGACACCCUUAUAUGGCGUACUCCGCAUUGUAUUUCACUAAUCCAAACUGUCUAUUUUGUAGAUAUUCAUUCAAAAAUAAUCUUUAUAAAAAAUCACUUGAAUCCAAUAUCAUUUGACCACUCAAUUAAAUUAUUGAAAUUUUAGUACUUUCUUGAAGCACCAUGUUCAUUGAUUUAGUAUGACACAAUUAGAUGGUUUUAGAUUUGUCUAAUUUUUUGUAAGAAUUAUCUAUUAAUGAAAACCUAAAAAAUAGAUGGUUUGGAUCGUUAAAAAAAAUUUCGUAAGAUACCCUAAAGAGUGUCCCUUAAAUAAAAUUAUUUGAAAAAUCUCUUAAUAAAAGAAGACUAUAUAUAUAGAAAUUCUCCUAUGUGGAGAGCUUGGAACUCAUAACUUCCCCAGAAAUGCACAUUAAUCAUGAGCUGUGACUUCUGUUUGCUCAUAAAAGAGCUCCAAAACCAAUCAUGCAUAGAAAAAAACAAAAUCAGUGUAAUGUCAACAAUGCUUUUGCAAUAGAGGCCGAGUAAAAGAGAAAAAGAGGAAAAAAAAAAAAAAAAAAAAAAACCCCCUCCCGUGUGGCAAAAGGUAAAAUGAAGGAGCUAAAAACCAAAGGUGGCUCUGUUGGUGGGUUGGUUAGAGGACAAAACUCAAAAUGAUUUGUACUGUCUCCAUCUCUACAGCUCUUUUCCAACAUUGCAAAUAAAGUCGGCAAAUAUGACUCUGAAUCUGAAUCCCUUCUCUGCCCAGGUCCUCUGUUUAUGGCAGUGAAGGACUAACUGACACUUGGUCAUACACAAAAAAAUAAAAAAAAAUAAAAAAUGUAAAAAAAAUCUCUCUGUCCUCAGGUUUUUGGCUAUCCAAUGUGGCUCAGUGGUCCUCAGCUUUUUCAAAGAGAGACACCAAAUUUGAAGCUCAUCAUCAGCAGCAUGUGCCAAAUCAGUUCAAUGAUAGCAUGCAAGCCAGGGCCUCCCAAAAUGCUAAUUUGGGCAGAAAACCAGAGAGCCUCACAUGUUCACAUCACUUUAUUAUGGAGAUGAACUUGUGAACUGGCAUCUGUCAAAAUGGCUUUGAGGUCAUCAUCAUCAUCAUCAUCAUCAUCAUCAUCAUCUUUCUUCAUCCAUCAUCCAUUCCUUACUAGGGUUUCUGAUCAGCCAGAUAUUUUGUCCUCCUAAGUUGGGUCUAAAUCAACUGGACUUGACCGUUCGACGUUUCACAGCCUCCGUUCCACGUUUCAGAGCCUCAGGAUCUGAGGUUGGUCCAAGGUCCAUGGUAGAUAGAUAUUACAAGCACCAAAUGGUCAAGUAUAAUUCUGACACCCACAACAUGCCCAUACAACUAAAUUUGGCUAGGGAUUUGAAUGCAGACUUGAAAUUAUGACAGGCACAUAAUAAAUUAUCCAACUGGAAAUCUGGUUAUCAAUAGAAUUUCUGAAAUCAUAAAAAAUUUAAUCUACAAUGUCACAAAAUACAAGUUGGCUCCAAACAAAUUAUCUUCUUACCAUGGAAAUUGACAAUGACCUUUUUUACCUUGAGGGUUUUAGUUUCUUGUGAGCGUGGUGAUUAAAUAGAUAACCCACUUGAUUUUUGUAUCAAUCAUACAAGUGAUGGGAGAAAGUUUGAAAGCCUAAUAAUGUUGACUAGGUAGAAGGUAAAAGUAAAACAUAUCUUUCAACUUGUUCCACAUCUUCUAUCCAUUUGUAGCCAAUCCAGGCACAUGCUUUCAAUCUCACAAGGCAUCAAGAAGAACCUGUUCCUGCAUUGGACCACUUGUUCAGAUAAAAAGAAGAAAAAAGUUUGUGUUAGUUUUUCAUAAAAGCCGGUGUUUGUGGAUUCAAACAACAAUCAUGGAGAAGGAAAAAUCAAAAGCACACAUGUAGGUGACCCACAAACUGAAAAGAUCCAACUACAUUUCCAUAUUGUACACAGAACAAUCUCAUGGUCUCAAAGGAAAAGACCGUGAUUUCAAUGAUUAAAAUCCAUGGUAGGACCGUUCUCUUCUCUCAAGUAGUGGAUGAGUUACAUAACCUAAAUAAGUUCAAUAAACCAGCAUUUAAGACAAGGGCCAUCCUCAUGGCAACAGAACAAAAAGAUAAGACAAUGAAUUGAAUUUCAAAACACAUUUUAAAUUUCAUCAACAGGCACAACACUUGGAAGUAGGACCAACAAAACAUGAAAAGAAGAAUAUAUAAUGGCCAGGUUAGGAAGGGAAAUGAGGGGAGAAAUGGGUCCUAAAAGAGGAUUUAUGCCUUCUUCAAAAGUAAGAUCCUUUCACUUCCCUUGGGGUUAACAGGUUAUAUUCCACUUCUUAUCCCACCAUUUCCAUCUUGGAUGCAUGCUACUGCAAUUAUGCAAUCACCAAACUAUAACAAUAAUUGUCAGCACUAAUCUUCCAAGUUUUUGAUUGAUUUCUUGUUCAAAGAAAUGAAUAGCAGUCAAUCAAUCAGUCAAUCAACGAGAUCUUAUCGAAUAAAUCUUAUCACAAAAAUAAUUAAAGCACAUACUUUGUAGACGAUUGAGCAAACUAACUGUUAUUUUCCUCCAAACAGAGUUUUUUGAUUCUGAGACAAGCUAAAUUCCAAUGCAGUUGAAUCACAGAAAUACAGAGCUUAAUACAUUUGGAGAAAUACAGUGCUCAAUAGAUCCAGUGAAGCAUGGAAAAUACCACAGAAGAAGCACAGAAUUUGCCAGCAUAUAUUUCAUCAGCUGAACUCAAUAUAAUUCUCAGUACAUCUGGAUGCUACUGCUACUGCCCCUUGCAUAGAGUUGCGGAGGAAAUCUCCUCUACGUGGUGCAAGAAUAUCUUUACUUUCAUCAACUUUCCACAAUCAAAAUGACGUUAAUGGACGAUCAAUCCAGCCGUGCAGCACAGAAAAUAAAAUAAUCGUCGACAGCUAAACCAGUUCCAUAUCCAACGGGGGUCAUCACAAAGGAAAAGGAGUAUCCCAAACCUUGAGAAAUUAUUUUCACCACAUUGCCUUCGAGCCAGAACUGCGGUCAAAUAAAACAGAUUUCUGACAGCAGCAGAUUUCCACAGGAGAUUGUCAAUAUUCAGGCUGCUCCAGUCAGGAAAAGUCCUAAAAUUUACAGUUAAAAGCCAUCCAUCCAGUCAGUCAUUCAAUUGUAUAGAACCUAAUUUUUUGUACAGCAUGUAAAGUGCAUAAGGGAACAAAAUACUCAUAUUCAGCCAAAGAGAGAGAACUAAUUGACACCAGGUACCAGUCAGGGUAAAGCAUGCCCUCACUGCCAUAAAGCAAUUGGCAAGACUGAUAUAGUUCAAAGAAGGAAUACCAGACGGUAGUGGGAUUCAGAAUUACAUUUUUUGGGCUCGUUUCACUGAUCCAAGUGACAAUUUUUUAACAUCAUCCAAGCAGUAAUACAUUUUGUAAUUUCCAUUUGCAAUUUUUAAAUCCAAUCAAUAUAGACUGAACAGAAAAUUACCGCACCCCAACCCCAACCCCCAGCCCAAAUUUACAUUCCUACAAGUUUUACACCUUUAAAUGCUAACCAACCCAUCCUAAAGUUCCCUUAAGCAACUGCUGUCAAGAAUUUCCGUAGGCACUUUUUCUACUACAUCACCCAAUGAACUCAGCUAAUUUGCCCCUUAUUCCCUCCAUACAUUUUCAUCCCAUAUUUUCAUUCGUAAUCAUGACAUAUUAGGUCUCAAGCCCCUACACCAGGGGCAUAACAUUCAAGUCCCAGAGGCAUAAACAAACUACAAAUAUAUUUCAAUUGGAAUAAAAAAAUUUAAACACGAUAUUUUUUCUUUGGGGUGGGAGAGCUGGGGAGAAAGAAAAUACAGCAAUUUCCAAUAUGUAUACUACAUAAUAAAAGAGGCAUAUUGCUCUACCCAUCAUGAGAUUGUCAAUUACAUUUCCAUUCUAGAUAGCAGCACCUUAGCUUGUGAAAUUUGUUUUUUAUACAAAAGAGAUUGAAAGAUAUGUUUAGGCAGUGUGGGUUUCUUAUUAUCAAAUGGAAGCUUCAUUGAAAGUCUGUGUUGUCCUCGCAUCUUUAACUUGUUUAGUGGGGCUUUUGCUUGGGAAGAAAUGGGGCUGGUUUCUCAGAAUUAAAAGAUGGAGAGUCCAAAUGGGUUGUCAACUUUCUAUAUCACGAUAGAUGCAAAAAUGACUUCUUUAUCCACAAAUCCCAUGCCUUACAAUUGUCUGAGUAAUGAAGACACAACCCGCAAAAUUAUAGUACUGGUAUGGGAGUUGCCAUACAAGUAAUGUGUAGGCGCCUUCAAAAUUAUGGAGAGGAUGACAAGCAACGCAUAUGAAAGGCAACAAAUCCAUUGUUUCUCUUCUUUUUUCCUUACUUUUUUUUUUUUUCUGGUUAUAAAAAACAAGGAGGCUGAUCUGCUGCUUUCUAUUUGCAAGGAACAUUACCAAGUACUCCAGAUUGGAAAAAUAAAUAAGUCGGAUGCUAUAGAAAGUAGAAUUUGCAUGCUUUUAUAUUAGUGAAUACAUUGAACUUGAACAACUUGAUAAUUUUUACCUACAGUUUUGAUAUGGUCUGCAUAGCCACGCCUCAUUAGGAUAUAGAACUAGAAAGGGACUGAACCUGAAUCUCUUUUAAGUUUUAUCUUUACCAUUUUGAUAUGAUUUGUUAUUUUAUAACAAUGGUACCACAUGCAGUCCAACUAGUGUUGCUAUAAGGUGAAAGUGAGCGAGUGAACCCUCCCUCCCUAAACUCAUUCAAAAGCUUGGGUAGAAAAAUUGGCCAACUUGAUACAAGGUUCUAUAAACAGGUCAAACUGAACUUGAUACAAGGGUGCUACACAUAUAAAUAUUGUCGUUGCGCUGCCAUGGAAGUGGCUCUAAUACUACCACUGCCAUCAAUGCCAGCGUCGAUACCAAUGUCACCGACAGAACUAUGUCAUUAUCAACACUGACAACAGAACCACGCUGGAAAUAGACAUUGACAUAGGCACCACCAUCCUCAUACCAUAAUACUUGCAACCAUCACAACCACUGUAUCACAACUAUCACCAUUGUCAUGCACCAUCAUUAUUAAGCCCUGCCCACUAGUAUUGCCAUGACCACCACUACUGAACUAGCAUUGCCAACCUAACCAUGCUGGAAAUAGACAUUGACACAGGCACCACCAGCACCACCGAACCUUUACUACCUCCAUCACUAACAUCACCAAACAUGUAUUCAAAAACAUCUCACAAACUGGACUUUUCAUUAGAAUUGCCUCACUAAAAUUAUUAACCAAAAUUUUUGCUUAACUUCUAGUAUUCUAGUUCUAAAUUUAUGCAUUUGUAAUGUUACUUAGUAGUAACAAUUCGAAAUUCCAUAAUCAUCAAUACCACCAUCAUUGCUAAUAAACCCAUGUCACUAAACCUUUUAUUCAGUAGUAUGUACCCAAUUUAAGUUUUAUCAAGAAAGAUCACUAAAUAUUUCUGAACUAUAACCAAAUUUGUUAACUUUUAGCUCCAAAAUUUUAGCACUAUCAACUCAAUCUUCAACGUUAUACCAUUUUCUGGAUGCAUCAAACUUUGAAGAAAGCUCCAAUCUUGCCAGUAAAUCAUGAUCUCCAAUUCCAAACUCAUUCAAAUAAAUGUCUAAUUGCACAUCGAAUAUUGACUCUUAUUAAUAAAUGAACAAAACUUGUGGGAACAUUCAGCGUUCAUACCUUAAAACCUGAGGAAGCGAAACGCAACGAGACCCUCAAACAUGCCCAAACACGCCCCAGCGCAAACGUCGGUGACGAAAUGCCUGCCCAGCACAAUCCUAGAGAAGGAGGUGGCGUAGGCCCAGGUCCAAGCAACCAAGACCAAAACACUAAUGGCGCUGACGGGGUCCGCGCCGAUCCAGCGGUCAAUGAACGGAGACGUUGGCCGGAGGAGCGCGAGGGCAUCGGCGAGAGCUGCGGCGGAGAGGUGGAGAAGGGCGGCGACGAAGCAGACCCUGGAGGCGUGUCCGCUGGGGAAGGAGAAGUGGUCGACCGAAACGGCGACGUUCAUGUUCUUGUUGUAGAGAGGGCGGGCGCGGCGGAAGAGGAGCUUGAUUAGGCCGAUGAGGGCGAGGUCGAGGAGGAGGCCGAGGAUGAGCGGGGAGAGGAGAGGGCGGAGGAUUUGAAUUGGGCUUAGGCUUGCGCCUGGGCCUGGGAUUUGGAUUGGGGAUGGGGUUAGGGUUAGGGUUGGGGCGAGGAGGAGGGAGAGGGAGAGGGGAAAGAAGAAGCGGAAGUCGGCGGAGAUUUCGAGGAGGAGGAGGAUGAAGUGGGGAAGGAAAGGUUUGGCGAGGACAUGGAGACGUUGGGAGAGCGUCGUGUCGAGAGUUACUAAGCGGCGGUGGAGUGGCGGCCGCGGCGGUGGCUGUGGCGGUUUGGUGGUGCUCUUGGAUUUGGGUGGUGGCGAUGGCUCCAUUGCUGUAGUGUCAGUCAUUGGCCGUUGGGUUUUGACAGUUGAGAACUAACCAACGGUUAGUUAAAGGGUGAGUUUGGCGGGCCAGAUUUGGAUUUAAAGAAGGUUUUUUUCUGAAUUCAUGGCCCAUAGAAACACAUUUGGGUGACUGAAAAAUAAUUUUGAAAAUAAACAUUGGCCCAGUAUUAGAGGAUUGUCGGCCGAGCUUGCAACCCUAGUGGGGCUUUGAGGUGCUGGAACAUUGGCCCAGUAUUAGCGGCUUGGGUUUGGGAUGCCUAUCUAUUGGCCCGCCAUUCCAAGCCAAGGGUUGAACCUUGUGGCUCGAGCGAAGGCUCUGGGUCACAGAGUUUCUAAAGAGGAGGGAACCGGAUAAGGUUGGCUUCACAAAGCAACAACUACCUCCCGCUCUUGGCCGUGGAAGGAUUACAGAUCAGUGUCACAUGGAUCCACCAUGGCCCUCUAUAUUGUCCCAAUUGAACUAAAAUCUUUUACAAGUAACUAACGGAGUCUAACUCAAUGAAAAUAAUAUUGACUUGUAGACUAAUAGUCUCAGUUUCGAACUCCAGUCUUUGAUAGCUUAGUAGUGUGUGUGUGUGUGAAAAACCACUCCCCCUUAUAAUUUAGACUAUCGCUUGUAUUAAUAAAAUAAAAUAAAAACCAACUAGUUAUUAAUUUAAUGAUAUUUUUUCACAUAACAUUAGCACUCUCCUAGAUAAAGUUAUAGUCAAUCAUGAAUGAUUGUUGUCUCAUUAAAGAAAUGUGGAUUGAGUCAGUCGAUCUUAUUUCGGUAUGGCUAACUUUUAUCUUGUUUCGAUUAGGCACUUAACUCAUUAAAACUGAUUGAAUCAAACUGACGUACUCUGAUUUGGUACCUUUUUUUUUUGUUGUCAAAAUCGAUGAUAAACCGAACCAAUUCUCUCAUCGGUUUUUAAAAAUCAAAAUUGGGCGAGUUCAUCAAACCGAAGAGCCUCUAAUAUACGGCGGUUCAAUGUCGGUUUUCCGAGAUCACUUACCUAUGGCGUUGGCUCAGUGGCCUAUUCGACCUAGCCGGUUUCAUUUUUCCAUGGCCAAGGGUCACAAUAUGGACCAAAAUCUUGACCAGGCCACUGAUGAUCCAUCUGGAGUCUAUAGGCCAAUAUUACUGCUGCAUGCCCGUGCACUCAUAAAAUUUUGAAUUUUUGAAAGACAUCGGAAAAAAUGCAAGACACCAGGAAAACUGGUAAUGAAAUAAUAACUUCCAUAGUAGGAGAAAAUGCAAUUAUACUUUUUGUCAUCGUGAAGAAGGAACCAAUUCAAAUUAUUUAUCAAUUGGGAUAAAACAAGACAAAAAAUGAAUCAAUAAUGGUUAGGAUUUUGGAAGAGUAAUAGUUUUAAAAUCUAUUGCAUGAUAAUUUGACCCUAGUUAUGGAGAACUGGAGAAGAUGAUAGGCCAAAAGUCACCUUAAAAUAUGGAGAAAUUGCAGCACAUAAAAUUCCAAAAACGUUAAUUAUUGAGCUUGAAUCAUGUGCAUUGCCUAUAUAUAUAGUUAUUUUCUGAUUCGGAUGUCUGUACGUUAUUAUCGUGCGGAUGCUAUUGUAAACAUGCAGGAAAAUAAGAAGGAUUAAUACAAAAUACAUGACGUUUGCACGAUAAUAACAUCUGAAUAUCCGCAUUGGAGAAUUUAUAUAUAUAUAUAUAUAUAUGCGCCCAUGCUAAUGCUAUAGUCCCUAUGGUUAUGGAUGUCUGCAAAUUGGCCAUCUUCUUUUUCCCAUUGGACUUUGACUUGAAACCUAUUAUUCUAUUGUAUACUUCAAUCAAAAACAAUGUCAUAAUGUCUCAUUAGGCUUAACAAAUGUUUAAAUAUAGACAUAAUUUGUAUGCACACAAAAUCGUGCAAUGAACAUUAUUCGUAGGGUUUUUUUUUUUUUUUUCCUGGCUUCAUAACAAUGGCCUUUGAAACCAAUGAUUGUCCAUGGAAUGAUUCUGAGCCUCAUUUAUUCACGCUGAGUGAGCAACUCUCAUGUUAUGUCCAAUAUCCCAAGUAUAUGUUAUUUGCAAUAGCUCAUUAACAAUGUAUGAGGUUCUUGGGUGAGUAGAAAUACAACACUCACCAACUUUAACCAAUCAACCAUACUCAAGAGAAGAAUCCUAAGUCAUAUUCAACAAGUUGAAUCUUUUACAAGUGAUAGGUCAUGAGUGAGUACGUAAGGCCAAGUCCAUGUCCAUACAAGAUUGGCAAGCUGAGGCCAUUUUCAAGGCUCACGGGCAAGUCUUUGUCUAGAUCUCAACCAUCAGAAAAAUCCAACACAUAUUGGCAAUUGAAGGCAGAUCAAAGGUGAAUAUCAAGGAAGUUAAAUCUCCAACAGCAGGCCAUAGACAGGACCACCAAAUUCUGGGUCCAAACCAAACCCUCUCUCUCUCUCUCUCUCUCUCUCUCUUUGCCAUCCUUAAUUACUGACAAUGCUUAUCUGAUCAUAUUUCAUCCAUUUCUCAAAGCUCUUGUUGGCUCUAGGGCAGCCCAACUCCUUGCCAAAAUGUUGCAUUUGUUUGAUUCAAUAAUGAUCCGAGAAUCACUCUCCACCCGACAUUGUGUAGUUAUGAUCCUGCAUCAUCAUCAUCAUCAUCCUGGCCUUACCCACUGUCCUAAUUUUUAUCAUUUUGAAUUAUAGAUUAGUUAAAUAAAACUUCUGAUUGGUUUAGGCGAAGCAAUUAUAACCUGCAUCAUGGCAAAAUAUAUAGCCUAAUACAUAAUGAUUGAAGAGAUCAAAAGAUUGUGAGUGGGGUGAGGUGGGUCAAAUAUGCUAAGAAGUCUCUAGUGUACAUUUGGAUAUAAAAGGUUUUCACAUGUAUAGUUCUUGAGAAAUAGGAUGCCAAUGGGACAAGUCCCAUUCCCAAGCUGCAUUGAUGGGAGAUUUAAAUGAUGUUCGAGAUCAAGGUGUAUAAGAAUUUGUGCACGUAUUAAAUAAAGCAAGGAGAGAUUCAGGAGAGAUGGAUUUUUUUAUCUCCAAAACCACAACAUCGCAUUGAUGUUUCCAUGACCCAAAGUUUGGUCAAAAGAUAUGCCAUUAAAACCCUUAAUUAGGGUAAGAGAAAGACACAUCUCCCUUUGAAAAGCCAAGGUCUUCCCUUUUCCUUUUAUUAUUUUCUUUUGCUCUCAUCAUUGCUUCUUUCUCCAUAGAACUCUCUUUGCUUGCUCUUGUUGAUAACUCUCCAUAAAUUGUGUCACCUACCUCAAUACCUUGCUUAGCUUUGUAGUAAGACGAAGCUUUUAUGUUUUUUUUCUUCCUUAUUAAACAAAAAGACUCAACCAUAUAAAACCCUAAAAUGUGUGUUUUUUUAAAGAAAAAAGUAUUACAAAGAAAAUUUGUGACGGAUCUGAAGACCAUGCGAAUCAAAGUUAACUCUUUAACUAAUAUCCACGCGAAGAAGAUUCGCGACGGAUUUGAAACCAAAUAGGAUGUGAAGACCCUAUCAGUAUAAUUUCCCUUAUUGACUAAGGAAUCUACUACUAUAUUAACUUCCCGAUAAAUAUGCUGAAAAAUAAAACACUAAAAUCUAAACCUAAUUUGAAAGAUAGCAAACCAAAAUAGAAAAAAACAAUUGAAAUUUUGGAGGUCCAACUCCAAACCAAAUACACAGCACGCUUUGGAUAUAACGCAGUUCCCGGGGAUGGCUUCAAAAACAGGCGUGAGAGCAAAGGCUGUCAAAACUCCACAACCAUAUGGUUUGCUUUUUGCACUCCUAAACCAUGCACUUCUUUUAACUAAUAACACCAUACAGAAUCUCAUAAUCACCCUAUCAUAAAAAGCACAAAGAAGAUGAGUUUAAUUCGAAUUUUGCCCAUUUUGCCCAAAUGGGUCGUCCAUAAUUAACGAUUUCUCAAGGUUUUUGGACCAUUUGGUGUUUAGGAUGCCUUAAUAUAAUCAUGUUUUAGUUGAUUAAGCUUUGAUUAUCUCAGUAAAAUUGUCUCCUUGUGUAGCUACAAAAGGCCAUUAUCCCAAUGAGCACAAAACUUUGUGCAAAACCCCAACUUGAUUAGUGCCUAAUUUGCCAACGGGUUAGCUAUAGCUACAGUACAAAAAAGAUAAAUAAAAUAAAUAAAAAACUUGUGGAGAAGUUGUCGUUUUACUAGUUUAAAUUUCAGGGCUUUUUUAGAUGCACUCUCUGCCAGUUUCCAUUCUCUUCCUAGUUUCUAUUCUUCUAUUCUAUUCCCACUUCAAACUCCUAUAAAAGAUUCCACCUCAUUCUGUCCCCCUUACUCUUUUACAAUAUGGAAUUUGGAAAAUAUAUUAAAAUUAUACAAUAAUCUCUUUGCAACUUGCAUCUUCAAAUCAAUUAUCAAUUAUAAUUUAAAAAAAUUUGCAUUCUAUAUACUAUGCCAACUAUGAGUAUCCUUAAUUAACAUUUUUAUACAAGCGAUAAAAUUUUAAACUAAUCAAAAUUAUAGAUAGGGGGAUUCAAACUCGAGUUGGAGAGUGGGAAACACAUUUGCUAAACAACUUGGUUAGGUCUAUAUCUGCUUAUGUGGCAUAAAUUAAUCCUUCAAUCAAGCGCUCCAGUUAUAAUUCUUGAACAAUACAAGAUUUAUUUUAUUUUAUUUUUCCUGAUGAGCCCUUUGUCUGCAAGUGUGAAGAGGGGGAGAAAAAACCAAGGGAAGGAAAAAUUAGGGUUCAGAAACCCCACCAAGAAAUGUGAAAUGGUUAUUAUUUCUUUGAUUUCAAGGUGCAAGAAAGUCAUAAAGCUAUCUGAGGGUUAGAUAUGUCAGAGCAAGAAAGCCUUUAUUAGAAAAGGACUAGACUAGAUUAGGUACUUACCAACUAAAUGUGUAUUUUCAAAUGAAUGCAAAUAAAGUCCCUGUUUAUGGAGAUCAGUUGGGUCAUUGAUACUAAUUAACUUGAUGGGUUUGCAACUGAUUAUCAUCCACUUCUUUUUUAGUGACUAUAAUUCAAAUUUCAGAAGGAAAAAGAAAAAAGAAAAAAAGAAGAAAAGAAAAGAAGAAAUGUAUUUUGCUUUUACCAAAGGUUUAGAUUUGAGUAGUAGUUUCUUUCAAGGUCAUCAUUGUAGUAUAGCAGGUCUAGUGCACUGCAUUUCAAUUUUCAAAAUCAUGGAGAGAGGGCCAAAAAGAUGGGAAAAUAGAGAGGUUUUUGAAUUGUUUUUUACCCAUCCACAUUUUGAUUUCGACAAACUGGUGCUGAAUCACUUAUUAUAUUCGUAUUCAUGUGAGUCGAAUAGAAGACCUACUACUUAAUUAGGUGGACAAAACUACCUCUAGCUUAGACACCGAUUAUGAAACAAAAAUAAAAGUUGAAUAUGAUACAAUGUGAUUAGAAAUGAGCAAACAACACAUUUAAAUGUUUUCAAACGGCAAAAAAUAAAAGCACUUAAUUAGGUUUUAAACCUCUCAUUCCACAAGUAAGCUAAAUAAAAAGCAAUAAAUUAAGAAAAAAAUUCAAAAGCUAAAUAAAAAUGAAAUGUUUUCGAAAUCAUGAUGAAGAAGAUGACCAAAUGUAACCCCAACCAAAUGCAAAGCUAAUUAAUCAUGUACGUCCACCAAACUCCCAUCUCCCACAUAAAAUUCAAAUACCACAAGAACCAGAGUAACUAGACACAUCUCUCUCGACCUCCCUGUUUUGUCCCAUCAAAUUAAACCCAUUUAUGGUGACAUUUGUUUUCUUUGAGCAGCAUGCUUCCUCUCUCAUGAAGAGACUGAGAAAUCCACGUGGGUAAUUCCAAAAUCCUCAGAAGGGUAGUCCAGUCAUUUCACACCCGGUCACGUAUCCGGUUGAAAGUUAGAAACCCCCCCUCCCCCCAUUUAAUAAACGCGCCAUAUCUCUCUCCUCCUCCAUUUCAUUCUUUUCUUUUCUCCCAAGACAAAUGAAGAAAACCAGAAACAGAGAAGAAAAAGAAGAAGAAGAAUAAGAGAGCUCAGCACUGAACAAACAAACCCAUUCAAACCCUAACCCAGAAAACACAGCACCGUGUCGUUUUGAGUUCCGUACAAUAAUGGCGAGUGGGUGGGUGAAGUCGUUGCAGUGCAAAUCCAGAGCAUUCGAAGACGUUUACCACCCGACCCCGAAAAAUCUCAUGAACAGCGCGAGUUGCAGACAAAGCGUUCAGAAUAUCAAAGACGUCAUCGACACCACAAAACACUACAAGCCCAGAAAGCUCAAGCCGCUACCGCCGGCGGGUCCACCACGUCCGCCAUCCAAACGACCCGACCCAAAAUCCCAACUACCCACCAAACCGGAACCCGAUUCAAGCCCGGGUCAGCAAACCCGAACCCGACCCAAGCGACCCCACGACCCGUUUCUACCGGCCCUGACCGAGCUCCCGGAGGGCCACCCUUCGCGCAACGUCGUGGAGAUUAUCUUCCACACCAGCUGGAGCCCCAAGGCGUUUUCGGGUCGGAUCGACAUGAUAUUCAAGGUGCAGAACGGGUCGAAGACCGUUGCCCGGUUCGAGGAGUACAGGGAGAGCGUGAAGGCGCGGUGCCGGGCCGGGUCCAAAGGCGGCGCCCAGUGCGAGGAGGAGAAUGUGCGGUGCGUCGCUGACGGAAACGAGGUCAUGCGGUUCCACUGCCUGGGGCCCACCACCUCGGGCUUCGGGGUCUACGACACGUGCGGUGGCGCGUGGGGGUUUCAUGGAGGCAAGGGCAAAGCGAUUUGCACGUUCUCUGGUAGCGGCGUGGCCCACGAGAAUGCGGGUGCAGGUGGUUCCAGGGGCCGGAGGGCGAUGCUGGUUUGCCGGGUCGUUGCGGGUCGGGUCUCGAAGCAGCUGGAGCUCGAGUCGUUGUUAGAUGGCCGGGUCGGGUUUGGGUUCGACUCGGUGAGUGGGGACAACGGCGAGUUGCUAGUGUUUGACUCACGCGCGGUGUUGCCUUGCUUUCUUAUCAUCUAUAAACUGUAAAAUACAAUGUUUCUUUCAUCCUUUUUUUUAUCUUUUUUCCGUUUUUUUUAAUUUUUAAAAUUUGUCCUGUUAUAUAUUUUUGUGAGGUUUUGAUCACAUCUUGUUCUUGCAUUUAUCAACUCAAUUUUUUUUUCUUCUUUUGUUUUUUUGGAUAUUUUGGUGUGAUUAUUGAAAAAAAAAAAAUUGAGUUGAUAAAUGCUUAAUUAUCCAAUUUGCCGUUUUUAUUCUUUUAUGAUUAAUGCUACGUCUCAGUUUAACUGUUUCACUUACGGAAUUAAUGGAUUUUAUUCCGUUAAGUCAUUCAAAACUUCACUAGAGAGCUUUCACAUGUUAGGUUAGUUUGUUUGGUAAUAAUGUUAGUAAAAUGAUUUUCUAAUAUAUGAUAAGGAAAUUCGAACUUUAGUGCAAGGGACGAGCAAAUUGCUGCCCAACCCAUAUCUACCAUGAGAUGAUGUUAAUCACAAUUCACAAUAACAAUAUAAUCAUCGAAAUGUUUUCCAAAUUUUAAGAAUGGUUAAAAAUUGGCUUUUUUUGAAAAAAAAAAAAUACAAAACGAAAUUGGGAAAUGAGGUUAUCAAAACUUAACUACUUGUGCAAUAAUUCAUUUACAUGUAGUUUUAAUUCUAUGACAAAGUAUAGAGUGAGCACUUAAUCUAGUCUUAUAACAGUCACCAAGAAACAUAAUGAUGAUGCUUAUGGACUAAGAGUGUUACCUGCACUAGUAAACAAUAAAAUUUGUUAUUCUAAUUAUGAUGGCAAUCUGCUCCCAAAAUAUAUAUACUGAUGGCAAUGAAAAUCUGCUCUAGAAAUGUAACUUAUAGUCAUAUAAUUUUUUUUGACUCACCAUAUUCAUAAAAAAUUUCAGUAAUAAAUUUUUCAUUAGACAUAAUUACAAUUGUCAUCCAUAAAUUUACAAUAUCUACUUCAAGAAACACUUAUAUUUAGAGAAGAAGAUUUCAUAAUAACAAAAGUUAGUUGGGAAUACUCGAACAAUGUUAUAUUCUAAUCCAAAUUCAUUGGUAAUGAUUGUAGACAAAGCAUGCAUUCAAAACUUAGCAAAUUAGAUCAGUCUCUAUUUUUCUUUUUCUUUUUUAUAGAGAUGCUAUCCUAUUCAAGGGCAUCUUAUAACAUAUAACUGAUUACAACUUCAGAACUAAGUGCUUUUUUUACACAAAAGCGAUAGGAUUCAAUUGAUUAUGAGGUAUGAAACAAAUGCAAAAAUUGGGCUAUAUCCUAGAGGAUUAGGCGAGUAUCUCUACAACAAAUGGGCGUAUGGUCGUCAGACAACAUAAGUAGCCUACUGCCUCCAUUAGAGCACCCAACCUCCCCUCCCCCACAAUGGUCGUCAGACAACAUAAGUAGCCUACUCUUGCCUCCAUUAGAGCACCCAACCACCCACCCACACCAAACCCAACCCCCCUCCCCCUCUUCACAAAUCCUCAUAGAAUCAUGCCCAUAAAAACUACUUAUUACAAUCCUUAAAUAAAGGGAGCUGAUUUUCCCACUCUUCUUUUGUCCACUUACACUCCCUUUGUUAAAAAUUGUAUGUUCCCACUCAUUUUUUGUUCACUUACACUCCCUUUUUUUGUUAUAAUAAAAACUAUUAAAAAAACAAAAGGGAGUAAGUGGACAAAAGGGGAGUGAGAAAAUUACCACCCUAAAUAAAACAUCAAUAAGAAAAUCUGAUGGUUCCUCAAACUAGUUAAGUAUAAGUUCUGAGCAAUUUUGACCUCUUUGGGCUACAUGCUCUAGAGGCCCCGUUUAGUUCAAGGUUUAGGAGUUUGGGAAUAAGUUUGAAAUUGUAUUCCUAUGUUUGGCAAGUGCACUCUUAGGAAUGCAAUUAUGAACUUCCCAUGUAGCGGGAAUUUCAUACCCUUGGCCGAGCUUGGGAAAAUUCCCCCCCCCCCCCACUUGAGAAAGCAUUUAAUGCAAAUUUUUAUGACUAACUUACUCCUAUUCUAUUUUUAAAAUACCAUGUUUUACCCUUAGAAAAACUCUUUAAAUUUCUUUCUUUGUAAUUUAAAAAAAAAAGGUUUAAGUGUAUUGUUGGAAAACUGAAUAAUACUGCACAAAUAAAAAAUGGGAAUGGGAUAAAAUGGCCUUUCUUGAUCAUCAUUUCCGAAUGUUUUGAAAUUUGGGAAUGAACAUCCUCCAUUCCCAUAUCAUGGGAUUAGACAUGGGAAGUUCAAUCUGCGAACCAAAUAAGCACUAGAGGUUUUGUCUUGUAAUUUUCUUUUUUGCAUAAAAAAAAUCAGCAAUUAUAAUUUUACAUUGCUUUCAAAAUUUUAUUGUCUUACUACAAAUCAAAACUAGAGAACUUAAGAGGUUGUUUGAUAAACAUUUUAUUUUCAUUUUUUUUUAAAAAUUGAAAACUGAAAACAUGUUUGGUAACAUAUUUGUUUUUAAGUUUAAAAAAAAGUGAAAUCUAGUUUUUAGAAUCACCCUUAUUUUUUUAAAACAACUUGAAAGUGUUUUCAUUUUUAUUUGUGCACAUUUUUCAUUCACUAAUUUUACAUCACCGCACAUGAAAUGCACUCCAAUUAUCAAAACUCAGUAUUUGGGGCCUCUGGAUUGGACCCGGCCACUUGAUUCUUGCAUUCGUCUGUGGACCUAGCCCAAGCCUCGAGACCUCCAAAUCCAAAAUUCAUUGAAAAAUACUACGAACUCUUUGUAACAUGUGCUUUCAUUUUAUGAUCUCAAAUUCACAACUUGACCCCAAAAAAUUUCAUUUCCAUGUUCGAAAUAAAAUAUAAAACUGAAAACUGAAAUCUGUUACUAAACAACUUUUGUUCAAUUUUCAUUUUUUUUAUAUAAAAAAAAACUAAAAUUAGUUACCAAACAAGUUUUUAAUUUUUAAAAAAUUAAAACGAAAAACAGAAAUGACUAUCAAACGGGCCUGUGUCGGUGGAAAACAUAUUCACCAGCAACAUGCAUGCAAGUCUCAACAUACUAUUUAUUCUACAUACACAUCCUAAGAGAGAGGCUAUUAUAUAUAUAUAUAUAUAUAUAUAUAUAUAUAUCCGGCGCAUAUGAUAUUUUUGCAGUAGGAUUGUAAAGAUAGAAAUCCCACUGCACCUAUAAGCAAACACUUAAUGUCAAUACCAAAAUUUUCCAGAUUUGAUUACAAGUGUUAGAAACUGAAAAGACAAGCAAAUGAAUAGCAUAGAUGUGUUUUUAUUCCAUUAGAAGAAGUGGUAGCUGUGUUGUUAUGUUUUAAAUUUCUGUUAUUUGGUAAGAGGCUUUACAUUUGGUGGUGUUGUUGAAGGAUGAAGAGAAAUCCAAUAAAAGAAAUUUAGGAUGAUCAGUAGAAGUCAGUAGGGUUUCUUGGGUCCAUAGAUGUCCUUCUCAACUGCCCAAGCUUUUGGUUAAUUUGGCAAAGUACAGCGCAAGUCACGCAACUGCUGCUAAAACAACACUUGUCUUAGGAGAAAAUGAAAGGCUUGACAAGGGUGGUGUAUGGUCACAAUCUAUGAUGUAAACCUUGUGACCUAUAAAAUGUAAUUCUACUUACCAAAAAACUCUCUUGCCCCCAUCCUUACGUAUGUUUUCAAAGUCAAGCAAAAUAAAAUAUUCCAUCUACUAAAACACAUUGAUUCUGUAUUCAAAAGAGUUGAAAGAUUCUCUAUGGAAGAGAGCAAAAAACAAAUGAGAAUUUGCCUUGAUGUAAUUUGACUUGGACCAGGGUGUUCCUAUUUGCAUUGGGCCAUGGUGACAUAUUGGUUUACUGGAGACCACAUAUUUUAAGUGGCCCACGAGAAAACAUGCUCAGUUCAUACAAAGUUGAACACAAUAACUUUUGAUCAAGUGAUGAGUGAUGGAUCAAGCUAACAACAUUACUACAGCUGGAUUGGGAAUUCAGAUAUGUUGAACUUGUAUGAACCUCAACCUGAGUUUGAUCAUAAAUUCUCAAAUCAAGGUCAAACUCCCUCUAGCUUACCCACUCAGAUUUCAAGUUUGCUUCAAGUGCAAGAAUCACUAAGAAACAAUGCCUAUAUAUACGGCUCUGAACUGAGAGAAACAAAAUGAGGGGGUUACAUAAAAUUGAGUUCAUGGAAAAACAAAGAAAAUGAGUCCUGCAGAAGUUUUCUCAAAUCGAACGGUUUCCAUAAUUCAAUGGUCUAUGCUCUACUAGUACUAGCUAAAAUGAGGGGUCUCAGCAACCAAGGUUUAUCAAAUUUCAUUAAUCAUUGAAACAGGGAAAAGGGAAUGGCUGGGGUGAAUCAAAUCAGAUUCCGGAUAUGGGAGUAGCCCAGAAUGUGCAUGUUCCUCAUGCAGCACCGACACAGAUGAAUCAUAUAGUCUUUUGCCCGGAUCAGUGGUAUUCAACUAGUACAUACAAUGGCUUGCCGUUCAAUCGCACACGACCCUGCAACAUCAGGAAGCAUGAAGUCACUGGCAAUGGUGACACAAAACAUAGCAAUGCAGAAGGGCCAUAGGGUUCUUUCUUUCAUAUUGUAAUCAUAAAACUGAGGAAAGCCGAGAGCUAAACCAACUCACCUGUAAAUCUGGUAAUUCAAUUACACAUGCACAUUCAACUACUUCUGCUCCAACACGUUCUGAGAGGAAACAUUUAAUUUUACCAAAUCAGCACUAAGGUCUUACAAGCAUCCACAAAUUUAAAGUAUGUUGAAAUUUGCCAAGGAACAAAGCAAGCAAUCCAGAAAUCCUGCCUCCAAAUUUAAUACAACAAUUAGUUGAUUAAACCAAAGAGAAUUUUGACGAAUAUAACAUGCAUACUUAAUAACCUAGAUGACAAAAUAGAACUUCAAAGAAUCAAAAGACUACAAUUCAGUAAGUUUUCUCAGAAUUUAGACUCUGAUCACUUCUAACUUCUAACUAAGCAAAAUAUCAUGAACCAAAAAAGUACUAAAUGAAAAUUAUGCUUUUCAAGAAAAAAGCCAAACAUUUGAAACAAAAAAACAGAAUAGAUAUUUAAUUUGAGCACAGCUUGGACAUCUGAACUGAAAUAUGAACUUGACACAGAUCACCAAUGGAUGCACCGGUGACUAGUCCCAUAUAAAACAUGAAUUCUUCCAAUAUUUUAACCAACAACUUGUUUAUAAUACUAAAACAAGUGUAAUUACCCAAUAAAUUCAUUGCAGCACAGAGUGUGCCUCCUGUGGCUAUUAAAUCAUCAACCACCAGAGCUCGCUCACCAAGUUCUACUGCUCCAACAUGCAUCUCAAGACGGUCCCUUCCAUAUUCCAAAGUGUACUCUUCAAAAAUAACAUCUCCUGCCACCAUGGAAAAGUUUUUCAGCAAUCCUAAGAUUAGUCACAACUUCAAAGAUGAGACUUAAAAAUCUCAAGAGGAAAAAGAGAUUCAAAACUAUACGUAAGACAGCCCUCUUAAAUGUGGUUCCCAAGGCACAUAACUGCAUGUCAGAUAUUAGAACAUUAAAAGUUAAAAAUAUAUAAGUUCCGAAGUAUCAGGAGCAUCAUUAACUAUCUGGACAGUAUACAGCCCUAAAAAAAAAUAAAAAAACACAGCUCUGCAGUUCACUGAAGAAAUAAUCACUAGAUAAAUACGGCAUGGUGGAAGACAUGCAAGGACUGGCGAGGACAGAAACAGAUAUAUUUUAAAGCCAGAAUUGGACAACAAAACCACACUAGAAGCAUGUAACAUCAUAAAUUAUCAAGGACUCAUAGUUCAUAUCAAGGCAGUUCCAACUUCCAAGCAGUGUCUUCAAGCCAUCAUUCAUCAAGGGCCCAAUUCAUUGGCAUUAUAAUUACAUCCUCUUUUACACAAAGGAUACACUGGAGAAAUAAUAUCCCUUUAAAUGGCGGUCUAUAAUAUGCUACUCAAGCAGAACUGUCUUGUACUUGAUCAGAAAGUCGGUAUGUGGCAUCCGUAUGUCAUAUGCGAUUACCGUUUGAAGAUAACUUUUACUGCAGACCAUCACAACCUUUGCUAUAUUGACCAACUGUAAUAUGAACAUACCAUACAUAAUAGGACAAACAUGUUCACAUACAGUCAGUCAUACCAAGAGAUGUAGACAAAAUAUCUAAUAGGAUAAAAAUUACCAGGCAACUUCCUUGGCUUUCUCAGGGGAACAAACUUUGCUCCUAUUGCCAAUGCAAUGGGAGGGCCAAAGAUAAAACCUCGAGCCUCAAUUCCUGAAAUAAACGAAAAUGAAACCUCAGAUUUCAGAACGCCAUAAGGGCUACAGAAAUGUUUUCUACUACCACAUAGAACUUGAGACUUCAAACAAUACAGGGUUAUCACUAUUCACUUAGAAAAGGCCACAACAAGCAUAAUUUCUGUGUCGAUCACUCUGUUACCAGAGCAAUAAAAGUGUACCAGCACAAAUAAUUCUAAAUGUACCAUCCACAAACAUAAUGCCAUGAAAGGAGACAAAUAGCAACACUUUUAACAUGAAAAUGGGAAUGGGAAGUAAAAAACCCAUUUGAAUGCAUCUUUAUUAUCAGGUAUUUAAGUUUCCACUAGGAUUCAAUGAUCUCUAGACAAUGGUCCAAACAAAUUCAGGUUCUCAACCCGUUGGACUGCAAUUUCCUCCACUAGGAUACAAUGAUAUCUAUAAAAAAGGUCCAAGUAUAUUCGGGUCCCCAGUGUUGGGUGUAGGUGGCUCGAUACAAGCCAUGUGUAAGUUCCACAUUGGAAAAUACAACAAUAAUCUACAGUUUAAAUAUAGGUGGUCCACUUCUAAUUGCAACGAGACCUUUUGUGAUAAAACCCCACACCUAGAGGUCCAUUGGGUCUUCUCUCUCCUUGGUGGUUAAGGUGGGGACAGUAUCGGUGCAUGAUUUGGACAGGUAGUGGGCUCCUAUUGGGCCCAUCGGUACAACACUCAGCUCAAAAGAAACAGUAAAGGACAGAUAUUCAAUUUAAGUUUCCACUAGAAUACAAUGAUCUCUAGACAAUGGUCCAAACAUAUUGAGCUUCCCAACCUGUUGGACCGUAAUUUCAUUGUCAGGUUUUUAAGUUUCUACCAGAAUACAAUGAUAUCUAUAAAGGUCCAAUCCAAGCGUAUUUAGGUCCUCGACUCAAAGAAAAGAUUACCAUAUUCAGGUCCUUGGCUCCACAGAAACAGCUAAAAUACUUUCAAGGAUAAAGAAAGAUGUUGGUAAAAAGUUUAUUAUAAGAACAGAAGAAAUUUUAAAAGAACGGCACGGUGAACAUAAUUCCCAAUGCAUAAGAAAUAUGGAAUCAAAUGUUAUGAGACAAUAAUGAAGGAAUGAAUAGGGAAAGAAAUCCUUCCAAAUUACAAUUUCUAAUGUAGCAUAAGACUACAACUAUGGAAAAGUAAAUGUAAGAGUUUAAUGAUCAAGGCUAGGACUUGGCUUCCAUGGUUAUCGAGGGCAACAUAAUACUAGGAAAUAUUGGUUCUUCUAAUAGAAAAACUAAGCACAAACAAGAAAUCAACUACAACAUCAAUUAAAAUAACAACAGAUACGGUAUGCUUUUCUUUUCAAGAAGAAAUACCACAUCUUGUCUAUGUCAGGGUGUAAUUUGCAGGUAGAUUCCCAAAUAGGUAUAAGGACUUUCAUUAACACAAGAAGACAUCUUAAGUCCACAUAAGCGCACAAAUAGAUAGAUCCUAGUGUAUACACAUUAAGACAAAACAUGCAUAAACAAUUUGGACCAAAUAAUUUGGGAAAUCAAUAUAAUAACUGAGAAUCAAGGCCAAUCAAUAAUGAAAUGGAAUUAAAUUUUCAGCUGUGUAGGACCUAAAGUGGUAUAUUUGGAUACCUAUUAUAAGUUACGAAUGAAAUGGAAAGCAUGUGAAUAUAUAUCGAUUUCUAAUGAAGUCAAUUCCGAUUAGAUUCCUUGAGGCAUAAAUGUGACUUUUACCAGCUCCACAGACACAAAGCUUAAUUUUCUUCAUAAUCUUCCACAAUGUAAUAUUUUCAAAACUAGUAGGGCCAAACAAAAGAAGCUUAAUUUUAAAAGGAACUUUCAAUGGUUCUUUUAUCAAUUUUUGAAAGGCCAAACACAAGCCAAGGCAGCAAAGAUUCAUAAAACUAUUACAGUAAACAAUUACAUCACAAUAAUAAAUUCCCUCAAUGCACAGCAACUCAAGGACACAAGGAAGGGCAACAACAUAAAGAGAAUAAAUAAGGGUCACCCAACAGUAAAGUUGGAAACCCACAUUAUAAUGAAGCCAAAAAAUUCGGCCCAAUUGAAAUGGGGGUCCACUUUUAACAAGGUGGGCAUCAUCACCAACCACCACCAUCCACGCAAAUUGGACUCAAGCACAUACCCACAAGAGAGAGAGAGAGAGAGAGAGAGAGAGAGAGAGAGAGAGAGAGAGAGCAAAUGUGAGGAGCUGGAGAAAUUUUUUUAAAGGAGAAUAAAGAAAAGAACUUCAGAGAGAGCCAUCAGUGGCAUAACGCACUAACAAGGCUUAGAGUCAAACAAAAAAUCACUCCCAAAACCCAGUGUGACUUCCAUUCCAUAAUUCCCCUUAGAAGCAUUCAAAAGGACAAGGAGAAACUUAUGCAAUAUUUAGAAUUUCUGCAUCACACAGACCUACUUUUCUAGUAAGCAUGGACCCACCACCUUCAAGCUAAUCACUGUUACAAAAAGUUCUUUAAAAGCUUUGGUCCUUUGGCUCAAAUGCGCAAAAUCUUUAAACCCCAGUUCUCCAACUAGUCCUUAACAAAAGAGAAUUAUAAAAUUUAAAAAAUAUAUAUUUUCUUAUUUUUUUUACCUGCAACCACUGAAAUGUUUUUGCCUUUGUAUCUCUCAACGAACAAAUCGAUUGUGUCCUUGAAGGCUUUUGGGUCCAGCAAUAAAGUUGUGAUAUCUUGGAACAUAAUACCUACACAGUGUGGCAGUUGCAGGACAUGAACCAAAAACAAAAUAAGCAAAUUUCCAACAGAGAAAGACAGAACAACCACAAGAAAAAAAGAAUAAACAAUCACUUCAACUGUUUGUUAUGAAAAAUAGAAGGGAAAUGAAAGGAAACCAAAAAUGAAAAUUUUCAUUUUUAUCACAAAGGCCAUCACUU
rnacentral:lncRNA from 1 species